AAGAAAACAUCUACAUGACACCCCAAAAGAUCAUAAAUUUGGAGAUAUAAACGUCCAAGACCGAUCCAGUUAUCAUACCAAAUGCUAAAAGUACCACCCUUUGGUCCCUACCAUAUGUUAGGUUUAAUAACAUCUUUAUUUUAUAACUCUUAUUUUCACACCUAUAACCCAGUCAGAUUUGAAUAACAAAAAAAGUCCCAAAUAUAGGGUAAAACUUUUUCUCACUUAGGUAACUCAUGUCCAAGACUCAAACUUGACACUUCUAGUUAAGGAUGAACAAAUACUAACUUCCACUCAACCAAAAUCUUUGUUGGUUGAACACAACAAAUAAAUCCAACAUAGUGCCUAAUUUUUUAAGAGAAAGUAAAUUAGGUCAUUAUUAGUACCACAAAAAGUUGUGGUGGGAUGUAUAUGAUCCAUCUAUCCUUAACCAGAAUUCUCGAGUUUGAGCCUUGAAUAUGAAGAAGAUCUUGUCAGAGAGUAUCCCUCGAAAGUCAAAUUAAUCGGGGGUUCAAUAUAACAUAUUGAAACAGAGUGAAAAUAAUAUUAAUUAUAAUUUAUUCUAAAUUCUAUUAAAAAUCUAUAAUCCUGAAGAAUGAUAAUUUCUAUAAUAUUAAUAAUAAGUUGUCUCAAUUAGACUCGUAUAUAUAUUUUAACCAUCUGUAUACUGACAACCCCGAGCUAUAUUUUGAAGUGUUUUUCAAGGUUUAUGUAAACAAGUAUGAAUUAUGCAUGUUUUAGUAAAGCUGUCAAAAUGGACUUGAUCCGCGAGGCCGGCCCAACCCAAACUUCAAAUUAAGUAGGGUUGGGCCUAAGUAUUUGGCCCAUUUAGGAAUGAGGCUUUUUAGCCCAGCCUCACUUGGCCACUAGCCUUGUAGGCCCAAGCCUCGUAGGCUUGCGGGUUGGGCCUACGGAGGCUAGCGGUCCAAGUGAAGCUAGGCUAAAAAGCCUCAUUCCUAGAUGGGCCAAGUAAUUAGGCCCAACCUGAAUUAAUUUAAGGUUUGGGUUGAGCCGGCAUUGCGGGUCAGUCCAUUUUGACAGCUCUACCAAAACAUACAUAAAUCAUACUUGUUUACUCAAAUCUUGAAAAAGACUUCAAAAUAUAGCUCGGGGUCAGUACAGGGAUGGUCAAAAUAGUAAAUUUUACAAAAUUUGCAAAAAUGACCAAUUAGUUCAUUACAUUAUCCACUACUAAAAACAUGUUUGUCUUCAAACUUAAAGGAAAAGAAAAUACCUAGAGUCUCAAAAUUUGAGGAUAGCUUGCACACAUGCCGACUCUGUCUCCCAAGUAAUCUCACCAACUGAAUGGUGCUUCCACUGCCCCUUCACUGGAGCAAUCUACUUGGUCCUAAGCUUUAAAACACGCCUAUCCAAGAUGUCUAUAGGCUCCUCCUCAAAGGACGAAUCUGUACCCAACACUAUUGAAUCAAGUGAAACCACGUGGGAAUCAUCUAGCACGUACUUUUGAAGCAUGGAGAUAUGAAAUAUAGGAUGAAUAACUGAUAAGCUAGGAGGAAAGGCCAUCUUAUAGGCCAUCCCUUCUACUUAGCUCAAAAUCUCAAAAGAGCCAUGAACCUAGGGCUAAGAUUUCCCUUAUUCCAAAAACUCAUCACACUCGUCAUGGGUAACUCUCGGAUCCAAAAAUGAUCACUCUCCAUAAGUACUAGGGCUCGCAUUAUCUAGCCUGCAUAACUUCUCUAUUGACUCUGGCAAUCAACAGUUUACUCUGAAUCAUACGAACCAAUAGCCUCCCUAAGAAAAUCUAUAUCUAAAGAUUCCACCUAAGCAAAAUCAAACCAACUGCUCAGAGAUAUGCACUGACUUCCAUUAAAUGCCAGAAAUGGGGCUAUAUGAAUACUAGAGUUGCAAAUGUUGUUGUAGGAAAACACUAUUAAGGGAAAAUUCUGAUUACAUCUAGUGCCAAAGAGAUCACACAUGCUCGAAGAAUAUCUCGAACACCUAAAUCAUCCACUCAAAAUGCCCAUCAAAGAGAGGAUGAAAGGUCGUACUCAUAUCUAACUGAAUAUCUAAAUUGUGUGGUAAAGUCUUCCAUGAGAAUUGAACAAUAAGUAUUUAUAAAAAAAAUGGAACCAGGGACUCCAUUAAGUGGACAAUCUGACUGAUAUAUAGAUAUGCUACUUGUUUUGUCGUAUACUUCACCCAAAAAGGGAUGAAAUGGGUGGACUUGAUCAACCUAUCUAGAACCACCCAAAUGGAGUCAUAACCACCAGCGGUUGUAGUAAAACCACAACAAAAUCCAUAGUAGUAUGCUCUCAUUUAAAUGUAGGAAUAGGCAUCGUUUGAUAUAUACCUCCGACUUGUUGGUAAAUCAAGCAUAUAGAUACAAAAUCUGCAUGUCUCUCUGCAUGGCAUACCACCAGUAAUGCUGACUUAGAUCAUGAUACAUAUUUUUCGCUCCAAAUGAAUGAAAUACAAAUAAAAAUGGGCCUCCUAAAGAAUCAAUAUAAUUAUCUUGCCCACCUUGGGUACACAAAUCCUACCUGCAAUCUUUAAGACACCAUCAAAAUCAAGGACAGCCUAUUUGUCUUCCCCUCCAAACACUUUGUCUCGAAUGAGACACAACUUCUGAUCGUCGAAUUGAUGCUCACGAAUCUGCUAACUAAGAAAUAUUGGGCCUCUAAGAAAGCAAUCAAACCACCACUCUAUUAAGAAAUAUGCAAUCGAACAAGACUAUUGGCUAACCUAUGAGCAUUUCUAGCUUAUGGUCUCUCUUCAACACUAGUAGGGAAAAAACUGUCCAUACUAGAUGUUUUCCUACUCAAAAUAUCAUCCACCAAAUUAGACUUCCCCGGAUGAUACUAUAUGUGAUAUCAUAGUCCUCUGGUAACUCAAGCCAUCUGUGUUUCCUCAAGUUCAGAUCCCUCUGAUUGAAAAUGUAUUGAAGACUCCGAUAGUCAAUGAAGAAAUAACAAUGAACCCCAUAAAAAUAAUGCCACUAUAACUUCGCUAUAGAUUAAGUAGAAAUACCAAAACUAUCAACAUUAAAUCAUGAGUAAAGUUGUUCUUGUCAUGGGUCUUCAAAUGCCUAAAUUCAUAGGCGAUCACCUUCCCCUUCUUCAUCAGAGCACCCCCAACUUGACUCCAAAAUCAUCAUAAUAAAUAGUAAAGUCCACACCCUCCUCGAGUAAAGUCAACACAUGAGCCAAAUUCAAUAAGGGUUUGAGAUUUUGAAAGCUUUCCUCACACUCAUUAGACCACUAGAAUCUCACACUUUGUCGAGUGUCGAGUCAAUAUGAUAAAAAAUGAUGUAAUAGUAUAGAUGCUCUAGGAAAAUCACUUGUAAUUUCCCGAUAGUCCCACAAAUCUCUGAAUCUUAGUAACUGAAGUAGGCAAGUAUAACCUCUAUCUGCCUCAAUAUUCCCUAGAUACAUCUGAAUACGCUCCUUGGCAUCCACAUGUCCUUGAAAUGCUAUACAAUCAAGCCAAAACUCACAUUUUGAUAACUUGACAUAUAACUUCUUUUCUCUCAAUCUCUUGAGAGAAAACCUCAAAUGUCGAUCAUAGUCCUCUGUAGUAUUGGAGUACGCCAAUACGUCGUUAAUAAAUACUAUCACAUAAAUCCAAAUGGUGUCGGAACACCCGUUCAUUAACUCCAUGAAUGAUACAUGGGAAAAAUUCAAACUGAAAGACAUCAUAGGAAACUCAUAGUGCCCAUAUCAAUUCGUGAAAGAUAUCUUAGGGAGAUUUGAUGCCCUAAUCUUUGAUUAAUGAUAGCCUAGCCUCAAAUCAAUCUUAGAAAUAAAAAACUUUCUCCCUAAGGUUGGUCAAAUAAGUCAUUUAUACGACGAAAAGGGUAUUUGUUCUUCACUAUCACUUUGUUCAACUAUUGGUAGUCAUUACGCAUCCUCGUGGUUUCAUAUUUUCUUCAAAAACAAGAUAAGGGUACCUUAUGGUAAUACAGUGGGAAGAUAAACCCUUUACUCUAAAAGUUCUGUUACUGAUCCUUUAGAUCCUUUGGCUCUGGUGGUGAACACGAUAAGAGGGAUAGAGAUGUGCUUGGUGCCUAGAUCCAAGUCAAUAGCAAAAUCAAAGUCCCUACCCAGAGGAACAUCUAGAAUAUCAUAAUGAAAUAGAUCUAAUAACUUUCAACCCACUAGAAUAAAUCAAUAGGAGGUGGCUCCAUAAUGGUAUUCAAAAGAGAGGCAAAACAAACAUUAUCUAUCAACUAAUCUCCUAUCUCAAAAGAAGGAGAUAACUUUGCUAGGUUAUGAACAACUAACACUUACCAUCACUAAGGUCAAAUUCUUUGCAUAACAAUCAAAUAUGACAUGAUGCGAGAAGAGCCAACCCAUUCCAAAAAUAAUAUCAAAGUCUAUCAUUCCCAUAAUGAUGAAGUCUACUCAAGUAUCAUACCCAACCAAAGAAACAAAAUAGGAUCGAUACACUAGAUUCACCAUUGAGGACUCACCCACCCGUGUAGAAACACAAAUAGGAAUAAGUAUGCUAUCAAACAUCAUAUCAAAUAUAAACACAAAGUAUGUAGACAUAUACGAGAAAGUAGACCUCGUAUCUAAAAAUACAAACACAGGUCAAUGGAAAACCAGGACUAUACUUGUAAUCACAGUGUUAGAAAUCUCAAUUUUGGCCUUACUGGAAAAAAAUAUAACACUUGUCCCUCUUGACCACCUCUAAUUUGAGUAGUGCCCUGACCUCUGCCCUGCUGAGUUGUAACACCCUGACUAGAAUCCAUUGCCGCUACCAGACUGAUCUCUGAAUCUCUAUCUAGAGUAGCUAAAUAAGUAUGAUGGGGUCCUAAGUAAGUUUUUAUGACAUUGUCGAAUCAUAUGACCAGGAUCUCCAUAUCCAAAAUAAUACCUCAAUAUGGAUGACUACUGCAGCAGACCUUAUGAGCUACCAUGAGCACCUCAGCUAGAACCAUAGGAACCUCAGAACAUCUACCCACUCUUAGAGUCCCUAAAAUUCUCUCUGACCAUCAACUCUACCUACUUGUAGGUACUCAUGAUAAACUGAAGGGAAGCCCCUUUUCUAACUACUCUGAACAUAUAAUACAUGAUGGUGAAAUUUAACCCUCUCACAAACAUGUGGUCUCUCCCUGCCUCAUUCGGAAAAAUAGUUAUACCAUGUCUGGAUAGCUCACAAAAUUGGGCUUCAUACUCUAUGACAGACAAACAACCCUUUCUUAUGUCCUCAAAUAUCAAAUAGAUUUCCUCUCUUACGCCCCCAAGGAGUGAAACGGUUCUGAAAAGGCACUAGAUAACACAUCCCACUCUAUUAGAGGAGAUCCAAAUGGUCUAGACAUUAUAUAAGUCAUCCACAACAUCUUGGUAGGUCCAUCCAUAGAAAUAAAGUGAAAUAAAUAAACAUCACGUGCAUCAACUAUAUCCACUGCCUCUAGAAUAUGUUGGCACAAAGUUAAGAACUCAUGAGCAUCCUAGCUCUUACUUUCCUUGGUGAUUUCAUCUUCUGUAACCUCUUAUAACACCAUUGAUCAUCUACUAUCAGAAUUACCUUAGGAGAAAUCUUUGCACCCACAAUUUUGUGCUGUAAGCACUAGUAGUUGACCCAUCUGAUGAUAAAUAAUCAGACCCCACUAAUGAUGUGAGGUCUGCGCCCCAACUCUCAUAUGAGAACCUUGUGGUGUACUGGUCACACCACUUUAGAGAAGUUCUACAACACACCCAAAAUCCUUAAAAAAGGUAUCCUGAAAAAAAUAGUUGUAAACUCAAGAGAAACCUGAUGCUUAACAGCCUCAACAUGCGGCUCAGUAUGACCUUUCUAGCUCAGCCUCUAGCUAAUACCGCUUAAUAAGUAUGACCUCUAGAGGUGCUACUCCAUGAGCAAGACCUCUAGCUCAUUCCUUACCCUUACGAUUUGAUGAGGUCUCAACAACGACCUAGGGGACAACCUUUACUCUUCUAAUGGAAAUAAAAGCUUGGUUCCUCAAUAUUUGCAACAAUAACACGCGGAAACUAAGCACUAACGAAGGUAAUGAUGCAUAAUAAGAAAGAUUUAACUAAAGGAAGUUUCCCAAGAAUCUUCCUAGGCUCUCAAAUAUAAGUACAUACGUCUUUAUACAAUUCCUCAAGACCUUACUUACACUUGGAUUGUACACACGUGAAACCGAUGUACCUAGGACUAUGAUACCUUUUGUCACAGUCCAAAAGACGAUGUCAUGGUACUCGUUUAUCCCACCAAGAUAAUUUAGCCUUAAAACCAACAAUACAAAAAAUAUGGAAAGUAAAAUAAUAAUAGAAAUAUAGUAAAAAACAUAGUAUUCUAAAAUAACCCCAAUACUUUGUUGUCAUGUAUAAAAACCUUUAGUAUAAUAUUACAUAAUUUGAAAGAUAAUACAAGUCUAAAUGCCCUUGUUUCUCGAAUAAAACAAAACAUAAAUUAAGGAACGAGAGGGGCGACCAGGAUAACAAGAAACUACCUCUCAAUGUAUCCGAGAAAGCCUUAGAAAUAUAUGAAGAAGAAAGAUCACAUGAGUCCAGGCUCGGGACCUACACAAGUGUAGAAGCAGGGAGAGAGUAUCAAACAACACGGUACUCAACAAUUAUCCUACUAAACAAGGUAAAACCAAGGUGGAAUACAAGUACUCCUUUUAUCCCUACAAAAUCGCCUCAACUACAACAUGCAAAGAAAUUAGUACACAACUCACAAGGCUUACCACAUACAAUCCAAAUGUCAUAAUUCAACAUCUAACAAGUAUCAAAUAUGUCAUUCAUAAUUGUCAAGUAGAUCAAUCUCAAGUGUUACAGAUAAAAAUCACAAGUAUCAGAAUCAUCAAGCACAAUAAUCAUGUACUCUAAGUACAAAUAUCAAGAUUAUCAUGCACAAUAACAAUCGGGACUAAAUAAAAGCAGACAUAGUCCAUGAACUCACCGGUAAUGACCUUGAGCUCAAUAACAAUCUUCGGUAAUGAUUUUGGUAUCAAUAAUACUCAUUUAAGAUGACCUCAAUAUCAAUAACACCUAUUGGAAUGACCUUGACAUCAAUAACACUCGUAAUUACAUCCAUAUCAAUAUCACUAUCCAAAAUCAAUUCCUUCAAAAUAAUGACCACAUAUCUCAUCAUUUUACAUAGAAUUCAAUCCAAAUAAAUUAUUUCAAACCAUAAGGAAGAGAAAAUAAAUAGAAGCAAUUUCAAUGCCAUAAAAGCAUUUCGUCCAUCAUCGAAUUAGAAUCCACAAUAAGGCAAUUCACAUAGCACAAAUAUUAAUAUGCUUAUUUUUCAUUAAUCCUCUUUUUAUUCAUUAUGAUCAAUUAAGUGUAAUAAUUUAACCCAUAACCUCAUACCUAUUAUUCCCCAACACACAUAAUGAAGGGAAAUACAAGAUUCUACAAGUUUUACAAGGUUUAAAGAUCACUAGUCACAAUUCAAUCAAAAGACAAUCCUUGAAUGCGGAUUUCCUUUUCGAACAAUAUCAAAAGUCACAUAAUCUAAUUCAAUCAAGUAAUAACAAUAAGAUUUUUGAAAUAACAACAAUAAAUAAAUUAUUUUUAAAAAAUGGGUCAAAUCAACUCCAAAACCCAAUUCAGAAAAUGAGGUUUGAAUCCAAAAGUUUAUACUUUAAAACGCUAACUAAGGCAUUUUGAACUCAUUGAAGAAAAUCAUUUCAAAAAAGGAAUUAAAAUUAGUUCAUAAACCAUAUUACAUUAGAACUCAAGUUCUUUAAAAACCUGGUCAUUUGUUAAUCAAAAUCUCAAGUUAUAAUUUUGAAAUUCAUAAUGAUAGUAAGGUAAUUAAAGUUUUAGGCUUAAGUCAUCAGCGGCCCCUUAAAGUUAUCCGCAUAAUUCACUUAGACACUUCAAAUAAUACUAGUAUCAAUUGAACACCCUUACCUGUAUAAUAAUCAUUUCUAUUAGAAAUUUUUUGAUAAUCAACAAAAAAUGUGAAGAGUGUGUGAUACACUUGUGGUGACGUGGCAACAUGACUAAUUAAAAAAUAGCAUUUGGCAUUGGGCCCAAAAAUUAUAAAAAACACACAUUUAAUAUCUUAUUUUUAAAAAAGGAAAAGAAAAAUGAAAAUAUCAACCUAUUCUACCCCACUUUACCCCAGCCCACCCCAACCCCCUUUCAUCUUCGUCUUCUUCCCCAAAACACAUUCUUUCUCAAAUUACAAAAUCUUAUUCUUUUCAAAUAACUUCAAGAUUAAUUUUUUUUCAUACUAAGAGUGAAGAAGAAAGAAAAUUUUGUUGGCAGUUAUUCAAUUCUACAUUGAUGACAAAAUGAAAUUCAUAACUGCAAAAUUAUUUGUUUCAAAUUUUUUUAUAUCAUUUUGAUAAAUUUAAUGACCACAUAUGAAUUUGAGUAAAAAUGUUUGUUAGAAAAUUGUGAUAAAUAAGUAUCGGCUAACUAUUUUUAUACGUAAAAGUCAUUUAUCUUUUUUAUCUUCUUCAUACUUGUUCCUUGUUUUUAUGAGAUUUGAAAUAAAUCAUACGAAGACUUUCUUUCAAGUCUGAAUCUUUAUAGUUGAUUUUCAUUUAUCUUCAUAUUGAGAAGAUAUAAAUUUUUUGUAUAUAAAAAAAUAGUGUUGGAGCUAAAAUGAAGAAAGUUUUGUAAACUAAAUUAUGAAGAAGAUGAUAGAUAGAGAGUGGGGUGUUUUCUUUUUUUUGAAAAAGUGUAAAUAAAGAAGAAAAUAUAUUUUAAGUUAAUUACAAUGCCAAGUGUUAAUAAAAGAUGAAAAAUAUAUUUUUAAAAAAUAGACACUAUUUUAAGUCUUUUCAUGCGCUUCAAGGAAGUGCAAUGCACAUUUUUCGCCAUAUCAGCAAUUUGUGUCUAAUAGGUACAUGUUUUGAUUUAGGUGUUCAAUAGGUACAAGUCUCAGUUGAGAUGUCUGAGUGAAUUGUGCGGACAACUUUGAGGGGCGGUAUAUGACUUAAGCCAAAGUUUUAGGAUCACAAAGAAUUACCCAAAUAAUUUGUCACAAGAAAUCUCUUUGAAAUCGCCUCCAAGGGUUUUCCAAAAUUCAAAAUGGGAAAACUAGGUUAACCCCCAAAUUUGUAGGCCAAAACCCUCUCUAAUGUCACUUAAGCAAACCCAAGUUCGCUUAUGUGAACCCUUAAAAAUGCUCAGGCUUCACUUUCUUCACUCACCUUCACUAAUAUAAAAUUCACAAUCUUGUUAAGGCCCCUGCUUUCAUGAAGGUAUGAACACUUAACCCUUCCACAAAGUGACCUGAUCUUCGUUAACACGACCCUCAUAAAAGUGAAGAUCCUUUGUGACCACAAGGUCAGCAUAUACCAGAAGACACAAUCAACUCUCAAAUCAUCAAAUGGAACCUCAGAAUUCAUUGGGGACCCUAUACACAAAAACGAAAUAUGUAAGUUGACUAUACUCACCGUUAUGGACUUAAUGAAACCAUCAAAAUAUGAAUCUAAAGUCUUUUCGAUUCAAGAUUUGUGAAAGUCAAAAGAAAGGAAAGUAACAUCCAUAAAGGCUAAAUCAAGCACGAAAGCUUUAAAAAUUCAAAUAUGACCUCCCCUAGGCUUAAAAUCAUUCCCCAAAUCCAACAAAACACUGAGAGUUCUCAUAUGAGCAUCCAAACUCCAAAUGUUGACAAAAUUCAACCAAAAUAUAAAAUUUCAUAACUAUGCAACUUACACCUCAAAUACUCAAAAAUUGAAACUGACAACUCCCAUGGACCAAUUUCAACUUUUCUAGAUGGAUCGAAUCAAUAAAAUUCCAUCUAGAAACUCAACACAAUUUAGAACCGGCAACUCUCUCCUUUUCAAGAUUUUAUUUAAAUGCUUUAGUGUUUGAUCUAUUGAAAUUAUUUGGGAUCUGAAAAGUUUCGUCUGGUGGUUCCAUUUAAGAUUUUCCAUUAGGAAGCUCAUCUAGCCUUGUUCUUGCGCAUUUAACUAGGAUUCGUCUAUGAUAUUGACCCACAAUAAGAAUGAUAUUUUCAUUUCUUUUAAUUUUGCGCUGGAAAAGAUCUAUCUACAUACAGUAGGAGUAGCAUCCUAAAGUGUAAAUGUCAUACAUUGAUAAUCAAUUAUUCCUAGCAGUGUGAAAUUGAAAUUAGAGGUUGGAUUCAAUCUUCAUGUUGCCAUGAUUAUUUGGUUCUUGUAGCUUAUUCUUAUUUCUCUUUGCUUGUUAUUAUGUAAUGCUUGUUGUGUUAGUGUUUGCCUUUUGUUCUUGGUUUCUUGUAUGGUUGUGUUUUAUGUGGUUGGGUGCAUCAUCGAUAUGAUUCAUAUCUAUUGAACCAGUUCAAUUAAGUUGUUUUUUGACUAAGCCAAUCCUAGAAACAUUACGCCAAAUUUGUUUAUAUACUAUUCAAUAAAGAUCCAAAAGUUUGUCAUUGUUUUUGGUCUUCCAUGAAUACUUGCGAUCAACCAAACUAGAUAGUUAAAAGUUUUGUUUAUCAUGUUCACCUCCCAUAAAGGGAUUUGUUCAUGAUAAUUAGUAAAAUUCUUGCAUUUUUCACCCAAACUUUUCAUCUCUUGCAUGAUUUGAUCCUUAUGUGAGGGCAAUUUAGCUAAUCAUUAUUAAUUAGUAUCCAUCCCUAAACUCCUAGAUCCAAGAAGCUAUGUAUUUGCUUCUCCUCCAUCUAGUGUUGUAUUCUUGAGAUGAUUAACAUGUCACUUUCCUCCCUUUAUAAUAUGAGUUAUUAAGAUAUUUUAGUUACUCAACCUUAUCCAUAUCUCUUUUACCACUUCAAUUAUUAUCCAUGAGACUUCACAAGCUUCAAGACUCAAAUACCUUAACAAUAAGGAGUUAACCUCAAGUAUCACCUCUUGAUAUUAGUUAUGCUCUCUAUAAAUCAUUGCCUUAGUAUAGUUAUAUCUCCCGUUUGAGUAUUGGUGUAUUGUAAAUUACUCAUUCUUUUGUCCUUAUAAGAAAAUAAAUUGUCAUUCAUAUCCCUCCUACAAAAUACUCAUGAUCGUUUGUGAGGAUUUUCUUUAAUGUACCAUCUAUAAUACAUUUAACAAGUAAUAUUGAUUUAAGAUAUCUAUGAUAUAAGAUUCAAAUGAAUAUCGAACAUAAUAAAGAACGAAAAACUUCUUAGACUUAUUCACAUACUAUCUUUGUUUCCAACUUGCCGUUUUUAUUUGAAAAUGGAUAUUUUAUUCUAUUCGAAAGUUCUAUAUCUCCACACAUGUUUUAUUUUGUACCAUAUCAUUUAAUAGUGAAAGAACAUGAGAUUUUUGUUUGUAACUAUAAAAACCAUCAUCAGAUAUCAUAAGUAAAUUGGCAAGUAAUCAUUUUCAUUAAAAAAACUGUCAUCAACAUUAAAUGAAUUUAAACUAAUAGAGCAUAAAAAAAGAGAAACAAAAUACUUUAUUUGUAACGAGUACAAAACAAAAAAAAAGCAAGUGUUUUAUUAAGGAGAUUUAGUGGUCAUUCAUUUAAAGAUAGAAGAUGAAUCUAAUUCCAAAAACUUUGAAUUUUGUCCUCAAAUUCUUUUUCCAAAAUGACUGAUUUCACAAGUACAAGGGGAAAAUAUUAUGUUUAAUUGAUGUCUGAUAUUUUUGUUGAAACUUAAUCAGAUUCGAAUUACAAAAAGUCCCAAGUUGAUGGUAAACUUCUUUCUAACCAAUAACUUAUGCCUAGAUACUUCUGGUUAUGGAUAAAAAAAAAUACUAGUAGUUUCUACUAAAUCACAGUCUUUGUUGGUACAAUAAAACAAAUAGAUCUAACAAAUAGCCAAAUAUUAUAGAGAAAGUAAAUUAAGUCAUUAUUAGUACCAACAAAAGUUGUGAUGGGAUGUGUAUGAUUUAUCCAUCCUUACUUAGAGGUCUCAAAUUUGAGUGUUGGAUAUGAAGAAAUCUUGUUAGAGAUUGUCCCUCAAAAUCAAAAUGAAUAGGCGAUUCAAUAUGAAAUAUUGAAAUCGAGAGAGAAUAAAAUUAAUUACAAUUAAUUCCAAAUUAUAUUUGAACUCUUUUAUCUUGAAGAAUGAUAAUUUUUUAUGAUAAUAAAUAAUUUUCACAUUUAAUAUUUCAUUGAAAUGUGCUAUUUAUUGCCUUUCAAUAUGUGUUCAUAAAGAAACUUUAUGAGAAAAUAUAAAUAUGUCAUUAGAAUAUAUAGAAUUCUCAUCAUACUAGUAAAUUUCUAUCCUAAUUUACUCGUCCUAAUUUUCAUUCAAUACCAUGAAAUUUCAUAAUUUAAUAACAAUUUUUUUAAAAUUUGGAGUUAUGAAAUCAUCAUCAUACACCACAAAAAUUAGGCAUAAAAUUGACAAACAUUCAUCUCCUUCUCUUAAAAUCAUUAAAUAAAUCUAAACUAGAAUCACAUAAAAGAAAUAAAAAAAUAUAUAAAAUCAACACUUUAUAUGUAGAGAACAAAAAAAAAAGUAAAAGUUUUCAUGAAAAGAUUGUGGAGUUGUUCACUAAAAAAUGGAGAUUUAAUGAGUCGAAUCUCAUAAUAUAUGAGCUCAACCUCAAUUAUAAUUUUUAUUUUGCAAAGAUCUAUUAUUCACAUUUAAAAUAAGAAAGAGUUUUUUACUUGGUGUCUGAUAUUCUUAUUCGGACACCAUUAGUUUCUGCUAAUAAAAAGUUCCAAAUUGAGAGUGAAAUUAUUUCUAACAAACAUAAAUCAUAUCCAAGACUCAAACUUGACACUUCUAGUUAAGGAUGAAGUAAUAUUAACUUCUUCACUGACACAAUAUUGUUGGUAGAACUCAAUAACUUAAUUCAACGUAUUUCUAUUUAUAUAAAAGAGAGAGUGAAUUAAGUUAUUAUUAGAACCAACAAUAGUUAUGAAGGGAUGUAUAUGAAACAUCGAUCCUUAACUAGAGGUCUCGAGUUUGAGCCUUGAAUAUGAAAAAUAUUGUUAGUUUUUCCUCGGAAUUAAAAUUAGUCGGAGAGUCAAUAUGGUAUAAUGAAAAACAAUGAAUAUGAUAUUAAUUACAAUUUUUAAUUUAUUCUUAAUUUCAUUGGAACUCAUUUAUAAUGAAGAACCACAAUUUCUAUAAUAAUGACUUAUCAUGUUUUGUAUUUCAUUGAUAUAUGUUAUUUUCAUACUUUCAAUAUGCGUUUGAAAAGAAUAUAUAAAUAUGUCAGGAGAAUAAAUAAAAUUUACUUCAUAGUAGUGAAUUUUUUAAGUACUAUUUCCUCCUGAUUUUGAAUCAAAGUCAUGAAAUUUAUUGGUUAUGAAAUAAGAAAACAAGAUUUUAUAUGGAUCUAUAAAAAUCAUCAUCACAUACCGCAAAGAAAGCUAGUAGGAAAAUUAAUCUAAAUUACAAACUAUCAUUUUCUUUCAAGUAUAUAUUUAUCACUAGUUCUGGAAACGUGCCUCACACGUUUGACCUCUGUUACUGUUAUAAUUUAUAUAGGCCCAACUCUUGUUCAUAAAAAAUUGCUCAACAUUGUCCGAAGUACUCCUAUAUGUGUUUUUGUGCAUAUAAAAUUAACUCUUUUUAGUGUUUACUUUCUGCCUAGAAUUUAAAUAGCAACAAUUUUUUGGAGGGAUAAUGAGCAACUUGUAAAGCUAGAACUAUAUUUUUACCAAUUAGAAUUAUCACUAAAAAUUCUAAACCCCAAGGCUAAAGUUUCUUGGGACAGAAAUACCCCAAAAAUCAUUAAAAUAAAAAAAUUGAAUAAAAGGAACAAACCAAUAAGAAUAAUAGUGACCAACAAAAAAAUAUUACAAGAACUAUUAGAUUAUGUGUUUCUCCUACAAUCAUGAAAAAUAAAAAAUAAAUGAAGGCACAAAUCAAUAAGAAAAAUAGUGACCAAUAAAAAAAAUACUCCACACAUAAGAACUAUUAGACAAUGAAACACAAAGUGUUAUGGAUAAAUAUUUUAUCCAAUUUAUAAAGGGAGAAAUUAAGUACAUGAAAGAUUGUGCAUAAAUGUGUUAAUGGUGGAAGCUAAAAGGUUUAACAAUCAAAUUCAUUAAGAAAUGGAAAAUGAUAAGUUGUAACAUCUAAUCAUUUAUUUGUUCUAGUUUAAUUGUCAUUAUUGAUUUGAUUCUAAAAAUUAGUAAAAGAUAUUUUAAUUUAAAUAAUUGGUGAAGGGCAUUUUCAUAAUAUAACUUUGAACAUAAAAUUUUCCCACUUAUAAUAAUUUAUCAUUAUCAACAAUAAAUGAAUCUAAAUAAUAGGAUAGAGAAAAAUAAAAUAACACACAUAAGAUACCUUUUAUGUAGAGAACACAAAUAUCACAAUUCAAAAGUAGAUGCGAAGGCACUCGUUUAUCCUACCAAGAUAGGUAAGCCUAAAGUCCAACACUAUUUUUACACCCCGAGCCUAAACUCCGAACGUGGCUAGCGCUCGGAGACUAUAGUUGGCCCCUAGCAAACCAUUGUCUGACUUACUUACCCAGCAAGACUUAAAAAUAAGAGAUAUAACACAAAGAUAUAUAAGUACUCCCCCUAAAUGGCAACUCAAGUCUUUAAACAAUAUUAUAAAUAAUAAUGUAAAGAAAAUUGUUCUACUAUUUGUCUAUAAAGCCUCUAAAAACAACUAAGAUGAAAGUUGAGAACGACCCCACAACAUCUAAAAAUUUUAUUUGGAGCUAUAAAAUUAUCAACAUACACCACUAUUAGAAUUAAGCAUAAAUUUAAUCUAAUUGCCAAACUAUUGUCUCCUUCAUAAAAAAAUUUUCUUAAGAAUAUUCAAUAAACCUAAAUUAUUACCACAUAAGAGAAAUAAAAUAAAUAUAAAACCAAAGCUUUAUAUGUAGAGAACAAUUAAAAAAAUAAAUGUUUUCAUCAAAAGAUUGUGGAGUUAUUCAAUAAGAGAUGGAGAUCUGAUGAGUUGAAUAUCCUAAUAUAUGAGUUCACCUAGAAUUGUAGUUUUUUAUUUUGCAAAUAUCUAUUAUUCAUACUUAAAAUAAGAAAGAGUUUUUACUUGGUGUCUAAUAUUAAAAUUGGGACACAAUUACUUUCGGCUAAUGAAAGUUCAAAAUUGAGGAUAAAAUUAUUUCUAACAAAGAUAUAUCAUGCCGAAGACUCAAACUUGACAAUUCUGGUUAAGGAUGAAGUAAUAUUAACUUCUUAUCGAAAAUGAUAUUGUUGGUAGAACUCAAUAUCUUAAUUCAACAUAUUGCAGAAUAAGCAAGAGAGAGUAAAUUAAGUUACUAUUAGAACCAACAAUAGUCAUGAAGGGAUGUAUAAAACAUCCAUCCUUAAGCAGAGGUCUCGAGUUUGAGCCUUGAAUAUGAAAUAUAUUGUUAGUUUUCUCUCGGAACUAAAAUUAGGUGGAGAGUAAAUAUGGUAUAAUGAAAAAUAGUGAAUAUAAUAUUAAUUAAAAUUUUCAAUUUAUUCUGAAUUCCAUUGGAACUCAUUUAUUAUGAAGAACCUAAUAAUGACUUAUCAUGUUUAAUAUUUUAUAAAGAUAUGUUAUUUUUGAACUUUCAAUAUGCGUUGAAAGAAAAAUAUAAAUAUGUCAGAAGAAAAAAAAUAAUUUACUUCUUAGUAGUGAUUUUUUUAAAGUAAUAUUUACUCCUGAUUUUGAUUCAAAACCAUGAAAUUUAUAGGUUAAGAAAUAAGAAAAAAAGAUUUAUAUGGAUCUAUAAAAUUCAUCAUCAUAUACAACAAAGAAAUAUAGUAAGAAAAUUAAUCUAAAUUACAAAAGUCAUUUUCAUUCAAAUAUAUAUUUAUCAUUAUCAACAAUAAAUGAAUCAAAAUUAUAGGAUAGAGAAAAAGAAAAUAACAUACAUAAGAUACCUUUUAUGUAGAAAACACAAAUAUUACAAUUCAAAAGUGGACGUGAUGGCACUCGUUUAUUCAACCAGGAUAGGUCGGCCUAUUGUCUAACACUAUCGUUACGUCCCGAGCCUACACUUAGCAAGUGGCUAGGAAUCAAAGACCACUGUUGACCCCUAGCAAACCAUGACCUGACUUACUUACUCAGCAAAAGACUUAAAAAUAAGAGAUAGAAGAAAAAGAUAUAUAAGUACUCAGCCUAAAUGAAAACUCAUGUUUUAAAACUAUAUUAGAAAUAAUAAUUUAUAGAAAAAUUGACCUACUAACUUUCUAUAAAGCCUCUAAAAACAACUGAGAUGGAAGUUGGAACGACCCCACAACAUCCAAAAAUUUUAUUUGGCGCUAUAAAAUUAUCAUCAUACACCACAAUGAAAAUUAAGCAUAAAAUUAAUCUAAUUGCCAAACAAUUAUCUCCUUCAGAAAAAAAUUUAUCUUAAAAACAUUAAAUAAAUCUAAAUUAGUAUCACAUAAGAGAAAUAAAAUAAAUAUAAAAUCAAUACUUUAUAUAUAGACACCAAUUAAAAAUAAUAAAAGUAUUCGUGAAAAGAUUGUGGAGUUAUACACUAAAAGAUGGAGAUUUGAUAAGUUCAAUAUCUUAAUAUAUGAGCUCAUCCCCAAUUAUAAUUUUUAUUUUUUUCCAAAAAUCUAUAUUUAUAAUAUUUCGGCUAAUGGAAAGUUCCAAAUGAGGUUAAAAUUAUUACUAACAUAGAUAACUCAUGCCCAAGACUCAAACUUGAGACUUCUGGUUAAGGAUGAAGUAAUAUUAACUUCUUCUCCCACACAAUAUUGUUGGUAGAACUCAAUAACUUAAUUCUAACAUAUUGCAGAAUAUGCAGGAGAAAGUGACUUAAGUUAUUAUUAGAUUCAACAAUAGUUAUGAAGGGAUGUAUACGGCGCAUCCAUCCUUAACCAGAGGUCUCGAGUUUGAGCCUUGAAUAUGAAAUAUAUUGUUAGUUUUCCCUCGGAACUAAAAUUAGGUGGAGAGUAAAUAUGGUAUAAUGAAAAUUAAUGAAUAUGAUAUUAAUAACAAUUUUCAAUUGAUUCUAAAUUUCGUUGGAACUCAUUUGUUAUUUUUGAUUUUUUAAUAUACGUUGAAAAGAAAAUAUAAAUAUGUCAGUAGAAUAUGUAGAAUUUACUUCUUGGUAGUAAAUUUUUUAAAGUAAUAUUUACUCCUGAUUUUUAUUCAAAACCAUGAAAUUUGUAGGUUAAGAAAUAAGAAAACAAGAUUUUAUAUGGAUUUAUAAAAAUCAUCAUCACAUACCACAAAGAAAGCUAGUAAGAAAAUUAAUCUAAAUUACAAAAGUCACUUUCCGUCAAGUAUAUAUUUAUCAUUAUCAACAAUAAAUGAAUCGAAAUAACAGGAUAGAGAAAAACAAAAAAUAACAUACACAAGAUACCUUUUAUGUGGAGAGCACAAAUAUUACAAUUCAAAAGUCAACGUGAUGACACUCGUCUAUCCCACCAAGACAAGUCAGCCUAUAGUCAACCACUACUAUCAUGCCAUGAGCCUACACCCAGACGUGAAUGGCAAUUGGAGACCAUUGCUGGUCCCAAGCAAACCAUGGUCUGACUUACUUACUCAACAAAAGACUUAAAAAUAAGAGAUAUAACAUAAAGAUAUAUAAGUACUCAACCUAAAUGGAAACUGAAGUCUUUAAAUAAUAUUAUAAAUAAUAAUGUAAAGAAAAUUGACCUACUAACUGUCCAUAAAGCCUCUAAAAAUAACUGAGAUGAAAGUUUGGAACGAUCCCACAACAUCCCAAAAUUUUGUUUGGAGCUAUAAAAUUGUCAUCAUACACCACAAUAAAAAUUAAGCAUAAAAUUAACUAAUUGCCAAACAAUUAUCUCCUUUAGAAAAAAAAUUAUCUUAAAAACAUUAAAGAAAUCUAAAUUUGUAUCACAUAAGAAAAAUAUAAUAAAUAUAAAAUCAAUAGUUUAUAUGUAGAUAACAAUUAAAAAUAAUAAAAGUAUUUCAUGAAAAGAUUGUGGAGUUAUUCACUAAAAGAUGGAGAUUUGAUGAGUUCAAUAUCAUAACAUAUGAGCUCAUUCCCAAUUCUAAUUUAUAUUUAGCAAAAAUCUAUUAUUUAUACUUAAAAUAAGAAAGAGUUUUUUACUCCGUGUCCGAUAUUCUUAUUGGGACACCAUUACUUUCGGUUAAUAGAUAAUUCGAAAUGAGGUUAAAAUUAUUUCUAACAAAGAUAACUCAUACCCAAGACUCAAACUUGACACUUCUGAUUAAGGAUAAAGUAAUAUUAACUUCUUCUCCAAAACAAUAUUGUUGGUAGAACUCAAUAACUUAAUUCUAUCAUAUUGCGUAUAUACAAGAGAGAGUGAAUUAAGUUAUUAUUAGAACCAACAAUAGUUAUGAAGGGAUGUAUAUGACAUAUCUAUCCUUAACCAGAGGUCUCGAGUUUGAGCCUUGAAUAUGAAAUAUAUUGUUAGUUUUCCAUAAGAGCUAAAAUUAGGUGGAGAGUCAAUAAGUUAUUAUAAAAAAAUAGUGAAUAUGAUAUUAAUACAAUAUUCAAUUUAUUCUGAAUUCCAUUAGAACUCAUUUAUUAUGAAGAACCACAAUUUCUAUAAUAAUGACUUAUCAUGUUUAAUAUUUCAUGGAGAUAUGUUAUUUUUGAACUUUCAAUAUGCGUUGAAAGGAAAAUAUAAAUAUGUCAGCAGAAUAAAUAGAAUUUACUUCUUAGUAGUAAUUUUUUUUUGAAGUAAUAUAUACUCCUUAUUUUGAUUCAAAACUAUAAAAUUUACAGGUUAAAGAAAUAAGAAAACGAGGUUUUAUAUGGAUCAAUCAAAAUCAUCAUCACAUACCACAAAGAAAGCUAGUAACAAAAUUAAUCUAAAUUUUAAAAGUCAUUUCCUUCAAAAAAAAUAUUCAUCAUUAUCUACAGUAAAUGAAUCUAAAUAAUAGGAUAGAGAAAAAUAAAAUAAAACACAUAAGAUACCUUUUAUGUAGAGAACACAAAUAUUACAAUUCAAAAGUGGAUGUGAUGACACUCGUUUAUUCCCUAAGACAGGUCAGCGUAAUGUCCAACACUACUGUCACGCCACGAGCCUACACCAAGACGGGAAUGUCAAUCGGAGGCCAUUGCUGGCUUUAAGAAAACCAUGGCCUGACUUACUUACUCCGCAAAAGACGAAAAAAUAAGAGAUAUAACAUAAAUAUAUAUAAGUAUUUAGCCUAAAUGGAAACUCAAGUCUUUAAACAAUAUUAGAGAUAAUAAUGUAAAGAAAAUUGACCUAUGAACUGUCCAUAAAGCCUAUAAAAACAACAGAGAUGAAAGUUCGGAACGAUUAUCUCCUUUAGACAAAAAAAAUUAUCUUAAAAAGAUUAAAUAAAUCUAAAUUAGUAUCACAUAAGAGAAAUAUAAUAAAUAUAAAAUCAAUAGUUUAUAUGUAGAGAACAAUUAAAAAUAAUAAAAGUAUCCAUGAAAAGAUUGUGGAGUUAUUUACUAAAACAUGGAGAUUUGAUGAGUUCAAUAUCAUAACCUAUGAUCUCACCCCCAAUUCUAUUUUUUAUUUUGAAAAAUAUCUAUUAUUUAUACUUAAAAUAAGAAAGAGUUUUUUACUUCGUGUCCAAUAUUCUUAUUGGGGCACCAUUACUUUCGGCUAAUGGAUAGUUCCAAAUGAGGUUAAAAUUAUUUCUAACAAAGAUAACUCAUUCUCAAGACUCGUCAAGACUCAAACUUGACACUUCUGGUUAAGAAUGAAGUAAUAUAAGCUUCUUCUCCAACACAAUAUUGUUCGUAGAUCUCAAUAACUUAAUUCUAGCAUAUUGAAGAAUAUGCAGGAGAGAGUGAAUUAAGUUAUUAUUAGAUUCAAAAUAGUUAUAAAGGGAUGUAUAUGACACAUCCAUUCUUAACCAGAGGUCUCGAGUUUGAGCCUUGAAUAUGAAAUAUAUUUUUAGUUUUCCAUCGGAACUAAAAUUAGGUGGAGAGUCAGUAUGGUAUUAUAAAAAAUAGUGAAUAUGAUAUUAAUACAAUUUUCAAUUUAUUCUGAAUUCCAUUGGAACUCAUUUAUUAUGAAGAAUCAUAAUUUCUAUCAUAAUGACUUCUCAUGUUUAGUAUUUCAUUGAGAUAUGUUAUUUUAGAACUUUCAAUAUGCGUUGAAACAAAAAUAUAAAUAUGUCAGUAGAAUAAAAAGAAUUUACUUCUUAGUAGUGAUUUUUUUAAAGUAAUAUUUACUCCUGAUUUUAAUUCAAAACCAUGAAAUUUAUAGGUUUAAAAUAAAUAAACAAGAUUUAUAUGGAUCUAUAAAAUUCAUCAUCAUAUACAACAAAGAAAAAUAGUAAGAAAAUUAAUAUAAAUUACAAAAGUCAUUUUCAUUCAAAUAUAUAUUUAUCAUUAUCAACAAUCAAUGAAUCUAAAUAAUAGGAUAGAUAAAAAGAAAAUAACAUACAUAAGAUACCUUUUAUGUAGAGAACACAAAUUUACAAUUCAAAAGGGGACGUGAUGACACUCGUUUAUUCAACCAAGAUAGGUCAGCCUAAUGUCCAACACUAUCCUUACACCCCGAGCGUACACUCCAAAAGUGGCUGACAAUCAGAGACCACUAUUUACUCCUAGCAAACCAUGACCUGACUUACCUAAUCAGCAAAAGACUUAAAAAUAAGAUAUAUAAGACAAAGAUAUAUAAGUACUCAGCCUAAAUUAAAACUCAAGUCAUUAAACAAUAUUAGAAAUAAUAAUAUAAAAAAAAUUGACCUACUAACUUGCUAUAAAGCCUCUAAAAACAACUGAGAUGGAAGUUUGGAAUGACCCCACAACAUCCAAAAAAAAAUUUGGAGCUAUAAAAUUUAUCAUCAUACACCACAAUGAAAAUAAAGCAUAAAAUUAACUAAUUGCCAACAAUUAUCUCCUUUAGAAAAAAAUUUUAUCUUAAAAACAUUAAAUAAAUCUAAAAUUGUAUCACAUAAGAAAAAUAUAAUAAAUAUAAAAUCAAUAGUUUAUAUGUAGAUAACAAUAAAAAAAAUAAAAGUAUUCAUGAAAAGAUUGUGGAGUCAUUCACUAAAAGAAGGAGAUUUGAUGAGUUCAAUAUCAUAACAUAUGAGCUCAUUCCCAAUUCUAAUUUUUAUUUAGCAAAAAUCUAUUAUUUAUACUUAAAAUAAGAAAGAGUUUUUUACUCCGUGUCCGAUAUUCUUAUUGGGACACCAUUACUUUCGGAUAAUAGAUAAUUCCAAAUGAGGUUAAAAUUAUUUCUAACAAAGAUAACUCAUACCCAAGACUCAAACUUGACACUUCUGGUUAAGGAUAAAGUACUAUUAACUUCUUCUCCAAAACAAUAUUGUUGGUAGAACUCAAUAACUUAAUUCUAACAUAUUGCAUAUAUGCAGGAGAGAGUUAAUUAAGUUAUUAUUAGAACCAACAAUAGUAAUGAAGGGAUGUAUAUGACAUAUCUAUCCUUAACCAGAGGUCUCGAGUUUGAGCCUUGAUUAUGAAAUAUAUUGUUAGAUUUUCCUCAGAAUUCAAAUUAGUCGGAGAGUCAAUAUGGUAUUACGAAAAAUAGUGAAUAUGAUAUUUAUUACAAUUUUCAAUUUAUUCUGAAUUCCAUUGGAACUCGUCUAUUUUGAAGAACCACUAUUUCUGUAUUAAUGACUUAUCAUGUUUAAUAUUUCAUUGAGAUAUGUUAUUUUUUGAUUCUUUAAUAUGCGUUGAAAAGAAAAUAUAAAUAUGACAGUAGAAUAUGUAGAAUUUACUUCUUAGUAGUAAAUUUUUUUAAGUAAUAUUUACUCAUGAUUUUUAUUCAAAACCAUGAAAUUUGUAGGUUAAGAAAUAAGAAAAAAAGAUUUUAUAUGGAUCUUUAAAAAUAAUCAUUACAUACCGCAAAGAAAGCUAGUGAGAAAAUUAAUCUAAAUUACAAACAGUCACUUUCCUCAAGUAUAUUUUAUCAUUAUCAACAAUAAAGGAAUCUAAAUAACACGAUAAAGAAAAAGAAAAUAACAUACGUAAGAUACUGUUAGACCCGCAAUCUACUUGAUCUAACUACGUGCAGACAUGCCAAGGACUUGGGCAUUGGUCUUGGCAUGGAUGAUGGCAAAACAGUGCAACACAAGUUCAAGAUGCUUGGGUGUUGGCAAGGCAGCUUGAACGUGCAUGGCUUACGUGCGGGCUAAGGGCAUUGGCAAGGCAGCAUGUUGACUUGAUGAGGCAAGGCUGUGAAGACUUGGCAAUGUCAGCGACAAAUGCAGUUCACCCGAAAUUGGGGAAAUAAAACUAAGUGUUGGAAGACAGCUAAAAUAUUCUAAGUGUUGGAAGCUGGCUGAAAUAUUCUAAGUGUUGGAAUGAAGCCUGAAAUAUUCUAAGUGUUAGAAUAUUAGUAUUUCGUGUAGAUAAGAAUGUAAUUUGAAUUAAAUUCUAUCUGUUGGAAAUAUAGAUGUUGGAAAGUUAGUUUUGAACCCUGUGAUGAAAAGUGUUGGACAGGUGUCAUUUGUAACCGCCGCAUGUAACUGCCAUUGUACAGGAUUUUGAUUUAAAGGUGGAAAUUCGUCUAAGGAAAAAAUAGAGUGUUUCUAGCCUUAGACUUAUUUGUGAAGCCUUUCUUUGUAUUACUUUAAAGGUUAAUAAAGGUUGGGACUGGUUCCUGUAAUUCUGUUGGUUGUUUGACGUUGCUGUUUUAAGUAUUUCCAUACUUAGUCAAUUUUCGUGGGUGCAAGUAGGUUGAGUGUUACAGACGUUUGUAAGACUGCCUAGAGUGGUGUGCGAAAAAAAUAAUCGACCCUCUUUCAAUUGGUAUCAGAGCGCGGUUAAACAAUGGUAAAAAACGCAGAACUAUGGGAGUUGGCACGAAAAAUUGAAUCCUUCGUCGGGUUUACUGAAGACAUUUUGGAAGACCCUACGUUUGUGGAUUUAUUCACACAAAUCAUUGAGUUGAGAGUGGACGCUGAAAAAGAUCAGGGCGAAAUUGGUGGAUAUCGACAGAAUGUUGAUAACCACAUUACUGAAAUCUUGGACUUUCGUACCACAACUACGCAAAAACUGGAGAGACUGCAACCUUCGUGCAGAACUCGUCGUUUUAUGUCGGGCUGUGGCCACGUUAAGUUCAACUCGUGUUGAAUCGUCUAAGGUAAAGAUUCCAGAACCUAAGGCCUUUAGUGGCGCAAGGAGUGCUAAAGAACUGGAAAAAUUUCAUCUGGGACAUGGAGCAAUAUUUUACUGCUGCAAGGGUACCGGACGCGGAUAAGUUGAACAUUACCACAAUGUAUUUGUCGGGUGAUGCAAAACUUUGGUGGAGGACUCGUAAUGCCGACGACGUAGGUGCUGGUCGUCGUAGAAUUGAUACAUGGGAUAAGCUAAUCAAAGAAAUGCGUGAUCAAUUUCUUCCUAGCAAUGCGUCUUGGCUUGCAAGGGAUAAAUUGAAAAGGCUAAGGCAGACGGGAUCAGUGAGGGAAUACAUAAAAGAAUUUACCUCUGUGAUGUUAGACAUACAAAAUAUGUCUGAUGAGGAUAAACUUCACAACUUCAUUUCGGGCAUGCAAGGCUGCGCUCAGAACGAACUACGAAGGCAGAAUGUUAAAGAUCUGCCCGGGGCUAUUGCUGCUGCCGAUUCACUAGUGGAUUUCCGAAUGACUCGUCCUUCGACAGACGUCCCCUCCACUUCAAAAACUAAGAAAAAGAAUGAGAAGAAAGGUGAAUGGAGAAAGGAAAGUCGUAAAGACAAUACAAAUGAUAAAGGAAAGGCACAAAUCAAGGAUGGACAAGACAAGCCAAAGAAUAAAGAUGGAAAUUCGAAGGGCUGUUGUACUUAUGGUGGUCCUCAUUUGGCCAAAUCUUGUCCGAACUGGGAAAAAGUGAAUGCUUUGCUUGCUGUUAAUGUGAAUCAAAGAGAGGAGGAUGAAGAAAUUGUGGCUGCAAUGACAAACCCGUUGGGAUUGUCCUUCAAUCACAUUAUGGGGAUCAAUAAUGUUGGAGAGAUCUCUAGCACUUUGAAUCCUCAUGCUUCCUUAAUUCAUAUAGAAAUGAAAGUGAAGGAACAAUGUGUGAUGGCAAUGGUUGAUACAGGGGCCACACACACGUUUGUAGAUGUGAAGAUUGCUACAAAAUUGGGGCUGAAGUUGUCUAAAAGCCCUUCCUACGUCAAAACAGUCAAUGCUAAGGCACAAGCCAUUGUGGACAUGGCUUAUGGUGUGUCUAUGUCAACUGGAAGUUGGAUGGGAAAACAUAACUUGAUGGUGAUGCCGCUUGGUGACUUUGAAAUCAUACUUGGGAUUGUUUUCCUAAGGAAAUUCAAGUUUGUUCCGUUUCCUCACUUAGAUGGAGUGAUGCUCAUGAAUGGAAGCAAUGUUGGCUUUCUCAAAGGUGUUCAUCCGUUUGGGGACAUUAAUAAAGUUGCAAAGAAGAAAGACAAGGAAAUGUUGUUGUCUGCUAUGUCAAUCGACAAAGGGCUGAAGAAAGGUGAAGACACCAUACUUGCUGCCUUGGUCGAAGUAAAACCUGAUGUGAAGAUGGAAGUGCCUGAUUGUGUUGCUGAAUUACUUAAAUAGUAUGCUGAUGUUAUGCCGCCUGAAUUACCAAAGAAAUUACCACCAAGGAGGGAUAUUGAUCAUAAGAUUGAGUUGCGGCCUGGUACGGUUGCUCCUGCACAGGCCCCUUAUCGUAUGACUCCUAAGGAAUUGGUUGAACUACGCAAACAAUUGAAUGAAUUGCUGGAUGCUGGAUUGAUUCAGCCGUCUAAGGCUCCAUAUGGUGCUCCUGUUCUAUUUCAAAAGAAACAGGAUGGAACAAUGAGAAUGUGUGUAGACUACCAGGUGUUGAAUAAGGCAACUAUAAAAAACAAGUAUCCGGUUCCGUUGGUGCAAGAUUUGAUGGACAGGUUAAGCAAGGCAUGCUGGUUCACAAAACUUGAUCUGAGGGCAGGUUAUUGGCAGGUUAGGAUAGCAGAGGGUGAUGAACCAAAGACAACAUGUGUAACUAGAUAUGGUUCCUAUGAAUUCCUUGUAAUGCCGUUUGGGUUGAUUAAUGCCCCGGCAACAUUUUGCAACUUAAUGAACAAUGUACUGUUUGACUAUCUUGAUGACUUUGUUGUUGUUUAUUUAGAUGAUAUAGUCAUUUAUAGUCGAACAUUGGAAGAACAAGUUAAUCACCUAAGUUUGGUUUUGUCUCAAUUGAGGAAAUACACGCUUUAUGUCAAGAUGGAAAAGUGUGAAUUUGCUCAACAAGAGAUAAUGUUUUUGGGGCAUCUUGUUAGUAAAAACCAAGUUCGAAUGGAUUCUAAGAAAGUGCAAGCCAUUGUUGAUUGGCAGGCACCUCGUCAUGUGAAGGAUUUGAGGUCGUUUCUUGGCUUGGCUAACUAUUACAGAAAGUUUAUUGCUGGUUACUCAAAGAAGGCAGCGGCUUUGACAGAUUUGUUAAAGAAGGAUACAAAGUGGGUUUGGUCUGAACGGUGUGAUGAAGUUUUUCAGAAUUUAAAGAAUGCUAUCGCAUCUGAACCUAUACUCAAAUUGCCUGAUUUCGAGUUACCAUUUGAAGUGCACACCGAUGCGUCAGACAAAGCGAUUGGUGGUGUAUUAGUGCAGGAAGGUCAUCCAGUGGCCUUUGAAAGUAGAAAAUUGAAUGAUGCUAAACAGAGAUACUCAACACAUGAAAAAGAAAUGGUUGUGGUGGUACACUGUUUGCAGGUUUGGAGAGUCUAUCUCUUGGGCACUCGAUUUGUGGUAAGAACUGAUAAUGUAGCAAAUACAUUUUUCAAGACACAGAAAAAUUUAAGUCCUAAACAAGCACGGUGGCAAGAAUUCCUGGCAGAAUAUGAUUUCAUGUGGGAACAUAAACCAGGAAAACACAACCAAGUUGCUGAUGCGUUGAGUCGAAAAGAAGUGUUUGUUGCAGUAUAUUUAAUUUCAAUACUGGAAACUGAUUUCUAUGAUAGAAUCAGGCUGUGUGCUGCAAAUGAUUCAUUGUAUGUUAAAUGGAUGGGUCAAGUGCAAGAUGGCACAAUGAGACAGUAUUGGAUCGAGGACGAUCUGCUCUAUUUUAAAGGGGGGAGGAUCGUUGUACCAAAUCAGGGCGGGUUGCGCAAAGACUUAAUGAAAGAGGCGCAUGACUCUGCUUGGGCUGGACAUCCCGGUGUUGAAAGGAUGUUAGCCUUACUGUCUCGUGUUUAUUUUUGGCCAAAAAUGGAAGAAGAUAUAGAGGCGUACGUUAAGACUUGUCAUGUUUGUUAAGUGAACAAGACUGAACGUAAGAAGGAAGCAGGUUUGCUGCAACCUUUGCCUAUUCCUGAAAGGCCAUGGCUAUCAGUAAGCAUGGAUUUCAUUUCUGGAUUCCCUAAAGUAGAUGGCAAAGCAUCUAUGAUGGUGGUAGUUGACAGGUUUUCAAAAUAUUCUGUUUUUAUUGCUGCUCCUGAAUUAUGCUCAUCUGAAGUUGCUGCUGAGUUAUUCUACAAACAUGUGGUUAAGUAUUUUGGUGUUCCGGCUGACAUUGUGAGUGAUAGUGACAUAAGGUUCACUGGUAGAUUUUGGACAGCAUUAUUCAAUAUGAUGGGAACUAAAUUAAUGUUUUCUACUGCAAAUCACCCACAAACAGAUGGAAAGACUGAAAGAAUUAAUCAUUUGUUGGAAGAAUACUUGAGGCACUAUGUGACAGCAAGUCAACGGAAUUGGGUAGCAUUGUUAGACACUGCACAGUUUUGCUAUAAUCUGCACAAGUCGUCUGCAACAGAAAUGAGUCCCUUUGAAAUCGUCUUAGGCAGACAGCCUAUGACGCCACUGGAUGUUGCCAAAUCUAAAAAUCAGGGAAAGUGUCCAGCAGCAUACAGGGUUGCAAGGGACAGACUUGAAAUGUUAUCUGAGGCACAAGACAACUUGCGCAAGGCUCAGCGCCGCAUGAAGAAAUAUGCUGAUCAACAUCGUCGCUCUGUGGAGUUCAGUGUGGGUGACAAGGUGUUGCUGAAACUUACCUCACAAAUCUGGAAACAGAUUGUAAGUAAGACCAGACAUCAAGGUUUGAUUCCUAAGUAUGAUGGUCCAUUCGAAGUGGUAAUACGAGUGGGCGAAGUUGCUUAUAGGUUGAAGCUGCUAGAAAGAUUGAAAAUUCACCCCACCUUCCAUGUGAGUUUCUUGAAACCUUACUUUGCAGAUGAAGAUGAUCCGGACAGGAACAGAUCAAAGAGGGCUCCUCCAUCAGUACCUACACAGUAUGAUGCUGAAAUUGAGAAGAUCCUUGAUUACCGGGUUUUAGUCAUAAGUAAGAAGAAUACUAAGACUGAAUUCUUAGUUCACUGGAAAGGCAAGAGUGCAGCAGAUGCUGUUUGGGAGAAAGCAAAAGACUAUGGCAGUUUGAUGCUCAAAUCGAUGACUAUCUCAAAAUAGUCUCGAUGAGGACAUCGAGUUCAAGUGGUGCGGGUGGUCUGUUAGACCUGCAAUUUACUUGAUCGAACUACGUGCAGACAUGCCAAGGACUUGGGCAUUGGCCUUGGCAUGGAUGAUGGCAAAACAGUGCAACACAAGUUCAAGAUGCUUGAGUGUUGGCAAGGCAGCUUGAACGUGCAUGGCUUACGUGCGGGCUAAGGGCAUUGGCAAGACAGCAUGUUGACUUGAUAAGGCAAGAAUGUGAAGACUUGGGAAUGUCAGGGACAAAGGCAGUUCUCCCGAAAUUGGGGAAAUAAAACUAAGUGUUGGAAGACAACUAAAAUAUUCUAAGUGUUUGAAGCUGGCUGAAAUAUUCUAAGUGUUGGAAUGAAGCCUGAAAUAUUCUAAGUGUUAGAAUAUUAGUAUUUCGUGUAGAUAAGAAUGUAAUUUGAAUUAAAUUCUAUCUGUUGGAAAUAUAGCUGUUGGAAAGUUAGUUUUGAACCCUGUGAUGACAAGUGUCGGACAGGUGUCAUUUGUAACCGCCGCAUGUAACUGCCAUUGUGCAGGAUUUUGAUUUAAAGGUGGAAAUUCGUCUAAGGCAAAAACAGAGUGUUUCUAGCCUUAUACUAAUUCGUGAAGCCUUCCUUUGUAUUACUUUAAAGGUUAAUAAAGGUUUGGACUGGUUUCUGUAAUUCUGUUGGUUGUUUGACGCUGCUGUUUUAAGUAUUUCUAUACUUAGUCAAUUUUCGUGGGUGCAAGUAGGUUGAGUGUUACAGACGUUUGUAAGACUGCCUAGAGUGGUGUGCGAAAAAAAUAAUCGACCCUCUUUCAGAUACCUUGUAUGUAGAGAAUACAAAUAUUACAAUUCACAAGUGAACGUGAUGAUACUCGUCAGGUCCACCAAGACAGGUCAGCCUAUAGUCUAACACUACUGUCACGCCCGGCCCAUACAUGGCUGGCAAUCGGAGACCAUUGUUCGCCCCAACCAAACCCUUGGUCUGGCUUACUUACUCAACGGAAGACUUCAAUAUAAGACAUAUAACACAAAUAUAUCUAAGUACUUAGCCCAAAUGGAGACUCCAUCUUUAAACAAUAUUACAAAUAAUAAUGUAAAGAAAAUUGAACUACUAACUAUCUAUGGAUCAUCUAAAAUAACUUAGAUGGAAGUUAGGAACGACCCGACAAAAUCCAAAAAUUUUAUUUGGAGCUAUUAAAUCAUCAUCAUACACCACAGUGAAAUUUAAGCAUAAAAUAAAUCUAAUUGCAAAAUAAUCAUCUCCUUCAGAAAAAAAUAUAUCGUAAAAAUAAUAAAUAAAUCGAAAAAAGUAUCAUUUAAAAUAAAUAUUAAAUCAACGCUUUUUAUGUAGAGAACAAUAAAAAAAGUAAAAGUUUUCAUGAAAAGUGUCACGACCCAAAACCGGGCCGCGACUGGCACCCACACUUACCCUCCUAUGUGAGCGAACCAACCAAUCUAAACUCUAACAUUUCAAUGUAUAUCAACAGAAAGUAAAUGCGGAAGACUUAAACUCGUUAAUAAAAACCCAUUCAAUAACUAUUAAAAUUCAACAUCUAUUAUUCCCCAAAAUCUGGAAGUCUUCAUCACAAGAACAUCUAUCCUCAAAUUUCUAAACUAAAAAUGUCUAAGAAGCUAAAACAAAUAAAAGCUAGUCCAUGCCGAAAGUUCAAGGCCUCAAGACAUGAAGAAGAAGAUCCAGUCCAAGAUAGAAGCAUUAGCUCGCCCUGAAUUUCCGAUGUAACGAAGACUGGCUAGAAUUGCGGUUGGGUUGAAGACGACGGCACGUUUGCUGCACUCCACAAAUAACAAGAAGAAAACAUAAAAGUAGGGGUCAGUACAAAACACGGGUACUGAGUAGAUAUCAUCGGCCAACUCAAAAUAGAAAAUAGUAUAUACCGAGUAAUAUCAUAAAAUCAACUAUGAUACUCAACAUGUAGCAACAACAAGUACUAUAUCAUUAACAAUUACCGUCAAAUUCACACAUGAGGACUCAAGCCUCAAUACCAUACUCAUUUGGGAAUUAGAUUCUUUUUGUUCGAAUUUAUUAGCAUCUUUCAAGAUUCAUUAUCCAUAUUCCUCUUGUGUCGGUACGUGACACUCCACUCCAUCAUUAAUCUCUAUUCCUCUUGUGUCGGUACGUGACACUCCGAUCCCCUACUACUAUGUGUUGGAACGUGACACUCCGAUCCCCUAAUUCUACGUGUCAGUUCGUGACACCCGAUCCCCUAAAUCUACGUGUCGGUUCGUGACACCCGAUCCCCUAAAUAUACAUGUCGGUUCGUGACACCCGAUCCCCUAAAUCUACGUGUCGGUUCGUGACACUCGGUCCCCCUAAUACUAUGUGUCGCUUCGUGACACCCGAUCCCUUAAUUCUAUGUGUCGGAACGUGACACUCCGAUCCCCUAAUCUCCUUCUAUCAAUUCAUCAAGCCUUCUCUCUUACCAAGGCAUUAUCAAUCUCAUUACUUUAGUUCAUCACGCCUUCUUUUAUACCAAGGCAUCAUCAUUAACAAGAGAUUAGGUUUUUAUCAAGAUUUGGGAUUCAAUAGCUUCAUCAUGCUUAUUUUAUCACAAUUAUAUAAUCACAUUCAUGCAAGCAUACAAUUAAGCACAUAGCAGGGUUUACAAUACUAUAAAUACAUAUCAUUCGCUAUUAAGAGUUUAAUACGAAUAGCAUGAAAACCAUAACCUACCUCCACCGAAGACUAGUGAUCAAGCAAGCAAUUUCCCAAAGCUCUGUUCUUCUUCUCUCCCUGUUCGUUCGUUUUCUUCCUCUCUUGUUCUUUCAAAUUUUCUUAUUCGAACCCUCUUUCUUUUACCCUAAUUAACAUAUAAUUAAGAAUAAAAGAUGGCAAUAAUAACCCACCAAUUAACUUAAGGUUACCUCUUUUAACCCCCAAGUAAUUAGACUUAUUAACCUUAACCCUCUAACUUUGUAAUUAAGGUAGGAAUAGUCCAAAACGUCCCUUAAAACGUGUAAAGAAAUCCGACCCAGACUGGGAUUACGCAACCUGUGACGGCCCGUCGUGCCUGCGACGAUCCGUCGUGCAGGUCGUCGCAAGGUUCAGACACUCAAUUUCCACCAAAGAGUCUGUGACGGUCCGUCACACCUGUGACGGUCCGUCACACCUGUGACGGUCCGUCCUGCCAUUCCGUUACGAAGUUCAGAGAGUCGAUUUUCAGUACCCAAUUUCAGAUUUUCUAAGUGUUGUGAAACGAGACCCUGUGACGGUUCGUCGUGACCAUGACAGUCUGUCGUGGGGUCCGUCGUUUCAGCCAGCUUUCCAUAAAUAAAAUUUGCUGCUCAAAACGACUAAAUAGGUCGUUACAAAAAGAUUGUGGAAUUAUUCACUAAAAGAUGAACAUUUGAUGAGUUCAAUUUCAUAAUAUAUGAGCUCACCCUUAAUUAUAAUUUUUAUUUUGCAUAUAUCUAUUAGUCAUACUUAAAAUAAGAAAGAGUAUUUUACUUGGUUUGCAAUAUUCUUAUUUGGACACCGUUAGUUUCGGCUAACAAAAAGUUCCAUAUUGAGGAAAAAAUUAUUUCUAACAAAGAUAGUCCAUGCCAAGACUCACACUUGACAUUUCUGGUUAAGAAUGAAGUAAUAUUAACUUCUUCUCCAACACAAUAUUGUUGGUAAAACACAAUAACUUAAUUCAAAAUAUUGUGGAAUAUGCAAGAGAGUGUGAAUAAUGUAAUUAUUAUAAGUUUAGAACCAACAAUAUUUACGAGGGGAUGUAUAUGAAAUAUCCAUUCUUAAUCAGAGGUCUCGAAUUUGAGCCUUGAAUAUGAAAUAUAUUGUUAGAUUUUCCUUGGAAUUCAAAUUAGUGUAGAGUCAAUAUGGUAUAAUGAAAAAUAGUGAAUAUGAUAUUAAUUACAAUUUUCAAUUUAUUCUGAAUUCCAUUGGAACUCAUCUAUUAUGAAGAACCACUAUUUCUAUAUUAAUGAGUUAUCAUGUUUAAUAUUUCAUUGAGAUAUGUUAUUUUUGAUUUUUUAAUAUGCGUUGAAAAGAAAAUAUAAAUAUGUCAGUAGAAUAUGUAGAAUUUACUUCUUAAUAGUAAAUUUUAUAAAGUAAUAUUUAAUCUUGAUUUUGAUUCAAAACCAUAAAAUUGGUAGGUUAAGAAAUAAGAAAACAAUAUUUUUAUAUGGAUCUCUAAAAGUCAUCAUCACAUAACGCAAAGAAAGCUAGUAAGAAAAUUACUCUAAAUUACAAACAAUCACUUUCCUUCAAUUAUAUAUUUAUCAUUAUCAACAAUAAAUUAAUCUAAAUAACAGGAUAGAGAAAAAGAAAUAACAUUCGUAAGAUACCUUGUAUGUAGAGAAUACAAAUAUUACAAUUCAAAAGUGAACGUGAUGACACUUGUCUGUUCCACCAAGACAGGUCAGCCUAUAGUCCAACACUACUGUCACGCCCCGAGCCUACACCCCAUACGUGGCUGGCAAUCAGAGACCAUUGCAGGGCCCAACCAAACCCUUGGUCUGGCUUACUUACUCUGCGGAAGACUUAAACAUAAGAGAUAUAACACAAAGAUAUCUAAGUUCUUAGCCUAAAUGGCGACUCAAGUUUUUAAACAAUAUUAGAAAUAAUAAUGUAAAGAAAAUGGAACUAUUAAUUGUCUAUAGAUCAUCUAAAAAUAACUGAGAUGGAAGUUGGGAACGACCUCACAACAUCCAAAAAUUUUAUUUGGAGCUAUAAAAUCAUCAACAUAAACCACAAUGAAAUUCAAGCAUAAAAUAAAUCUAAUUGCAAAAUAAUCAUCUCCUUUAGAAAAAAAUAUAUCGUAAAAGUACUAAAUAAAUCGAAAUUAGUAUCAUAUAAAAUAAAUAUAAAAUCAACACUUUGUAUGUAGAGAACAAUAAAAAAAAGUAAAAGUUUUCAUGAAAAGAUUGUUUAAUUAUUCACUAAAAGAUGAACAUUUGAUGAGUUCAAUUUCAUAAUAUAUGAGCUCACCCUUAAUUAUAAUUUUUAUUUUGCAUAUAUCUAUUAUUGAUACUUAAAAUAAGAAAGAGUAUUUUACUUGGUUUGCAAUAUUCUUAUUUGGACACCGUUAGUUUCGGCUAACAAAGAGUUCCAUAUUGAGGAAAAAAAUAUUUCUAACAAAGAUAAUUCAUGCCAACAGUCACACUUGACACUUCUGGUUAAGGAUGAAGUAAUAUUAACUUCUUUUCCAACACAAUAUUGUUGGUGAACUCAAUAACUUAAUUCAACAUAUUGCGGAAUAUGCAAGAGAGUCUGAAUUAUGUUAUUAUUAUAAGUUUAGAACCAACAAUAUUUACGAGGGGAUGUAUAUGAAAUAUCCAUCCUUAAUCAGAGGUUUCGAGUUUGAGCCUUGAAUAUGAAAUAUAUUGUUUGAUUUUCCUUGGAAUUCAAAUUAGUGUGAGAGUCAAUAUGGUAUAAGUAUAAAUAGUGAAUAUGAAAUUAAUUACAAUUUUCAAUCUAUUCUGAAUUCCAUUGGAACUCAUCUAGUAUGAAGAACCACUAUUUCUAUAUUAAUGAGUUAUCAUGUUUAAUACUUCAUUGGCAUAUGUUAUUUUUGAUUUUUUAAUCUACGUUGAAAAGAAAAUAUAAAUAUGUCAGUAGAAUAUCUAGAAUUUACUUCUUAGUAGUAAAUUUUUAAAGUAAUAUUUACUCCCGAUUUUGAUUCAAACCCAUAAAAUUUGUAGGUUAAGAAAUAAGAAAACAAUAUUUUUAUAUGGAUCUUUAAAAGUCAUCAUCACAUACCGCAAAGAAAGCUAGUAAGAAAAUUAAUCUAAAUUACAAACAAUCACUUUCCUUCAAUUAUAUAUUUAUCAUUAUCAACAAUAAAUUAAUCUAAAUAACGGGAUAGAGAAAAAGAAAAUAAAAUACGUAAGAUACCUUGUAUGUAGAGAAUACAAAUAUUACAAUUCAGAAGUGAACGUGAUGAUACAUGUCAGGUCCACCAAGACAGGACAACCUAAAGUCCAAUACUACUGUCACGCCAGGUCGGGGGAAAAGAACACAGGCAAGAAAACCCCAAAAGAGGAUAGUGAAUUGGGCUACUCAGACUUCACCCUAUCACUCAGUUUCCAUUUACCCCAUCCCAACAAAAAAACAUGCAAUUCUCCCCAAUUCAUAAAAAUCUAAAUACUAGAGUGGUAGGUGAAGCAAACUUGUGGCGCAAAGCGCUGUCGAUCAGCAAGCUGGUGGGUCUGGUUCCCCAGAACCCACGUCCUCUGCAAUCUGGACACCCUUAGUGGUGUCCUCAGCAACAAUCGCACCAUCAGUAGUGCCUCCUGCUAUCUCUACAGUGCGGGAGCUAGACGCCCUAGCCGCUCACUCUGAUGCUCUCAUCUGGUGCGCCGCCUCCUCAGCAAGUGAGGCUCUCCUUGCAGCCUCCAUCUCUCGGCGCUCCUUCUUCCGUGAUCGCGCCUCCUCCUCUGCUUGACCCCUAUGCCUCUUGGCACUCUCUCGAGGGGGAGGUGGUGGAAUUUCUGAAGUAGCAAAAAGGGCUGCCAACAAUGUGUCCUCAGCAAGCACAACAGAAGGAGCCUCAGACUCCGGUACCCUAGCCUCUAAGAUCGUGUCGAUGUAUGCACGAAGACUGUCAACUAUAGCCUGAAGAGUCGACACAUCCAUCGGAGGGGCUGGUCGGGCUAGCACCCUCAACUCAAAGGCGUCCAAGUGCUGGUUAACCUCAGCGAUCUUCCGCUCUGUAAAAUGGACCAUUUUCCUCUCUAGGCGCUCUUCUGACUCAGUAAUAGACUUCUGCAUCCAUUGCUGGAUAUGAUGCAGAAGUGUGGCCAUUUGCGCCUCUAGUUUUUGGACCCUAGAAAGUGAGACCAGUGCCGGUAGAGGGGCUGUGCGAGAGGAGCUCGGGGCAGUGCUACUACCCGGGAUAGACUCGACCGGCGUAGUGUUAGUGGACACCGCCUGUGUAGCCAUGUGGGCCUGGGCUACCGUAUCAACAAGAUCAUCAGCAAGUGGGGGCAGCUAUGGACGGGGCCCUCUGUGUGGAGCCAACUCAUUGGCCUCAUCUCUGAUGAGGCCGAUGUCAACAGUUCCCUGCAGGUCUCUAGCUAAUCUACGUGCCAUAUGGGCACACCUGCGGACCUGCAGAGAGCAAAUAUCAUGCACCGGAAAGGGUAGGUAGUAGUGACCUUGAAUGCCCUUUCAUGCAUGACUACCUCUAGAAGCCAUGCAAAGUCCACCUCGAACCCGGCUAUCAUCGCCACCAUCAACACUACUCGAUCCCGGGUAACGAUAUUAUCUACAGCUGUGGGGGGAAGGCAGUGACGGACAAGCAGCCACAAAAACUUCACCGUGAAAGUGAGGUUGGACUUUUUGAUGGCCCCCUUUGGCUCAGUCACCCAAUCUGCACCCUCUCCAUCAACUGACAGGUGCAGGGCCAUCCACCUCAUGGUGGUCUCUCUCAGUGAUUGCUCGCGCAAGAACUGGCCAUCUUUAACUAUCUGCCAGCGGUAGUCAAACUCGGCAUUGAGGGGGGUCCGAGUAGCAUCAACACUCUCGCCGUAUAGAAAUCGGCGGAUGGCUGGCAGGGAAAUGUCAACCUUUACGCCCCGUACUCAAACCUACUCCAGUGGGGCCUGUUUAGCGGGGGCAGCCCGCCUAUCUAUCUGUGAUCAGAUAGUCGCUACGUAGGAUGCGUAGAACUCUCAGACAAUUUCUUCACUAUAACGUCCCAACGGACGUGCUGUCUACUCCAAGCGAUGCCUGGUGAAGAGAUUGUGGAUCUCAGGCAUCGUCGGGAGACUCCCAGUAAGGACCCGCCAUUCCAAGGGGAGUGUUCGAGUCAUCACUCCUUUAUCAGUCAGGAACUUGGCGUCGAAGUAGACUUGAAAUCGCCCGUCAACACACCACCGCUUGGGCUGGUCAGUGGCUGGGGUGGGGACCUUAGCUGGUGAGCCUGAUGUAGAUUCAGAACUAUCAGCCUCAUCAGACGAGGCCAACGUUGCAGCGGUGGCGGGUGCGUGAACCUCAACAGAGCCGGAGGCUUCCUCGGACCAUGAUACUCCUAAGGAUCCAGACGCUCCUUCUUUAUUUGUGGCUGACCCAUAGGGUGUACCGGUCAGUCUGCGCUCCUCAUCAGACUGGGAGGCAAUGACUACGCCGGACGCCACCUUUUUGGUUGUGGAUCUGGGAGCACGUGCAGCACGGGAAGGUGUGGAAGUGCCUGGGGGCACAUACUCAGGGUCACGCUCAUCAUCAGAGCCGAUGACCAUGCGGGCAUACGGGGCGACAGACUUUGAUCACUCGCGUGCGUAGAUUCGGUCUUGCUUGGGUGCCAUAGUAGAUAGUACCUGCAAAGGAUCAAUAUUAGUACGAGUAGUGGAAAACAAGACAAGCAAAACCAUACGAAAUAAAAUAUUGAAAAUAGUAUGUCAUUACUAUAGAAACAGUGACACACGAAGGGCCUGGUGACAGCUCGUCGUGACUAUGACGGACCGUCAUGAGGUCCGUCGUGUUUUACUUAGACUAUGUAUAUAUAGAGAACCCUGAAGGAGAGUCUCUGACUAGAAUGAUGGUAUGUGCAAUAUGGACCGUCACUGGUCGUAGGUGUCCGUCGUAGGACACUUAAAAAAAUAUGGAGACCCUUAGAUGAGGGGUCUUUGGCCGUCAUGACGGUCGUGCAGGACGGACCGUCGUGGGUAUGACGGUCCAUCACAUGUGUCCGUUGAAAGACACUUAGAAAGAGUGAGAGACCCUUAGAAAUAGGGUCUCUGACAACCAGAACGGUUGUGCAGGACGGACCGUCGUUGUCACGACCCAAAAACCGAGCCGCGACUGGCACCCACAUUUACCCUCCUAUGUGAGCGAACCAAACAAUCUAAACCUUAUCAUUUCAACAUAUAUCAACAGAAAAUAAUGCGGAAGACUUAAACUCAUUAAUAAAAACCAAUUCAAUAACUAUUAUUCCCCAAAAUCUGGAAGUCAUCAUCACAAGAAUAUCUAUGAUCAAAUUACUAACUAAAAAUGUCUAAGAAGCUUAAAAUACAUAAGAAGCUAGUCCAUGCCGGAAGUUCAAGGCAUCAAGACUUGAAGAAGAAGAUCCAGUCCAAGCUACAAGCAUUAGCUCACCCUGAAUUUCCGAUGUAGUAAAGACUGGCUUGAAUUACUGUUGAGUCAAAGACGACGGCACGUUUGCUGCACUCCACAAAUAACAAAGAACAAAACAUAAAAGUAGGGGUCAGUAUAAAACACGGGUACUGAGUAGAUAUCAUCGGCCAACUCGAAAUAGAAAACAGUAUAUACCAAGUAAUAUCAUAAAAUCAACUAUGAUACUCAACAUGUAGUAAUAACAAGUACUAUAUCAUUAACAAUUAUCGUCAAGUUCACACAUGCGGACUCAAGCCUCAAUACCAUACUCAUUUGGGAAUUAUGUUCAUUAGAUUGAGUAUAUUAGCAUCUUUCAAGAUUCAUUAUCUUUAUUUUUCUUGUGUCGGUAUGUGACACUCCGCUCCCUCAUAUUCUUUAUUCCUCUUGUGUUGGUACGUGACACUUCAAUCCCCUACUACUAUGUGUCGCAACGUGACACUCCGAUCCCCUAAAUCUACGUGUCGGUUCGUGACACCCGAUCCCCUAAAUAUAUGUGUCGGUUCGUGAUAUCCGAUCCCCUAAAUCUACGUGUCAGUUCGUGACACCCGAUCCCCUUAAUCUACGUGUCGAUUCGUGACACCCGGUCCCCCUAAUACUACGUGUCGGUUCGUGACACCCGAUCCCUUAAUCUAUUUGUCGGUUCGUGACACCCGGUCCCCCUAAUACUACGUGUCGGUUUGUGACACCCGAUCCCUUAAUUCUAUGUGUCGGAACGUGACACUCCGAUCCCCUAAUCUCCUUCUAUCAAUUCAUCAUGCCUUCUUUUAUACCAAGGCCUCAUCAUUAACAAGAGAUUAGGUUUUUAUCAAGAUUUGGGAUGCAAUAGCUUCAUCAUGCUUAAUAUAAUCACAAUUAUAUAAUCACGUUCAUGCAAGCAUACGAUCAAGCACAUAGCAGGAUUUACAAUAUUAUCAAUACAUAUCAUUCGCUAUUAAGAGUUUACUACGAAUAGUGUGAAAAUCAUAACCUACCUCCACCGAAGACUAGUGAUCAAGCAAGAAUUUUCCAAGUUUUUGUUCCUUCUUCUCGUUCGAUCCUCUCUCUCCCUUCUUGUUCUUUUUAUUUUUCUUAACCCAACCUCUUUCUUUUACCCUAAUUAACAUAUAAUUAAGAAUAAAAGAUGGCAAUAAUAACUCACUAAUUAACUUAAGGUUACCUCUUUUAACCCCCAAGUAAUUAGACUUAUUAACCUUAACCCUCUAACUUUAUAAUUAAGGUAGGAAUAGUCCAAAACGUCCCUUAAAACGUGUAAAGAAAUUCGACCCCGACUGGGAUUACGCAACCUGUGACGGCCCGUUGUGCCUGCGACGGUUUGUCCUGCAGGUCAUCGCAAUGUUCAGAGACUGAAUUUCCACUGAAGAAUCUGUGACGGCCCAUCACGACUGUGACGGCCCGUCACGACUGUGACGGCCCGUCCUGCCAUUCCGUCACGAAGUUCAGAGAGUCGAUUUUCAGUACCCAAUUUCAGAAUUUCUAAGUGUUUUGAAACGAGACCCUGCGACGGUCCAUCGCGCCUAUGACGGUCCGUCGUGCCUAUGACGGUCCGUCAUGCCUAUGACGGUCCGUCGUGGGGUCCGUCAUCUCAGCCAGUUUUCCAGAAAUAAAAUCUGCUGCUCAAAACGACUAAACAGGUCGUUACAAUAGAUACCAAUUUACCCAUCGUUCGUCCUCGAACGAUUACAAGAAGAAAAACAAGGGCGAGAAGGAGUACCUGAAUCUUUAAACAGAUAAGGGUAUCUUUCUUGCAUAUCAGCCUCCUCCCAAGUGGCUUCUUCAACCGAUCGAUUCUUCCAUUGCACCUUGAUGGAUGCAAUCUCCCUUGACCUUAACUUGCGGACUUCUCUAUCUAAAAAAGCAACCGGUUCCUCCUCAUAAGACAGAUUCUCAUCAAGCAAAACUGAAUCCCAAUGGAUAAUGUAGUUUCCAUCCCCAUGGUAUCUUUUUAACAUAGACACAUGGAAUACCGGAUUUACUCCGGACAGCCCUGGAGGCAAGGCUAAUUCAUAAGCCACCUCCCCUACUCGCUUAAGCACUUCAAAGGGACCAAUAUACCUUGGGCUUAGUUUACCUCUUUUACCAAACCGCAUCACCCCUUUCAUGGGCGAAACCUUCAACAAGACUUGUUCACCCUCCAUGAACUCUAAGUCUCUAACCUUUCGAUCUGCAUAUUCCUUUUGCCUACUUCGCGCCGCUAGAAGCUUUUCUUGAAUAGAUUUCACUUUCUCUAAUGAAUCCCUCAAAAGGUCAGUACCCCAAGGUCUAACCUCGAAUGCAUCAAACCAACCAAUGGGAGACCUACAUCUCCUGCCAUACAAUGCUUCAAAUGGAGCCAUAUCAAUGCUUGAGUGAUAGCUAUUAUUGUAUGAAAACACCGCUAAGGGUAAGAAGUUAUGCCAAUGGCCACCAAAUUCCAUCACACAUGCACGAAGCAUAUCCUUCAACACUUGAAUCAUUCGCUCAGACUAACCAUCGGUCUGAGGAUGGAACGCGGUACUAAGGUCCAACCUAGUACCCAAUUCCGCAUGCAAUGUUUUCCAAAACUUAGAAGUAAACUGCGUACCUCUAUCUGAUAUGAUGGAUUGUGGAACCCCAUGCAAUUGAACGAUUUCUGAGAUAUAGAUCUUGGCUAACUUCUCAGCAUUGUAAGUCACCUAAACCAGAAUAAAAUGAGCAGACUUAGUUAACCUAUCAACAAUCACCCAAAUAGAGUCGUACUUACCCGUUGUUUUUGGAAGACCAACUACAAAAUCCAUUGCAAUUCUCUCCCACAUCCAUUCAGUAAUGGGCAUUCUCUGAAUUGUUCCUCCGGGCCUCUGCUGCUCAUACUUUACUUGUUGACAAUUUGGACACUUGGCGAUAAAUUCAACAAUAUCACGCUUCAUUCUACUCCACCAAAAGUGUUGCUUUAGAUCACGGUACAUCUUGGUUGCACCCGGAUGUAUCGAAUACCUUGAACUAUGAGCCUCUGUCAGAAUAGUGUUGAUCAAAUCAUCAACGCGGGGUACACAUACCCUUCUCUUAAUCCUCAAAACACCUUCCUCAUCGAUUGUUGCUUCUUUAACCUCUCCUUGCAUCACUUUAUCUCGGAUCCGGAUCAAUUUCUCAUCAUUAAACUGAUUCCCCUUAAUCUUGUCAAGGAAGGAAGAUCUUGCCUCCACACAAGCCAAAAAUCCUCCCUUCUCAUUAACUUCUAGUCUCAUAAGGUCAUUAGCUAGAAUCUGAACUUCUCUAGCCAACGGGCGUCUAGAAGCUUGCAAGUGAGCUAGACUUCCCAUGCUUCCCGCCUUUCUACUUAAAGCAUCUGCCACAACAUUCGCCUUCCCCGGAUGAUACAAAAUAGUGAUGUCGUAGUCCUUCAGUAGUUCCAUCCAUCUCCUCUGUAUCAAGUUCAAAUCUUUCUGAGUAAAGACAUACUGUAGGCUACGAUGAUCUGUGUAUACUUCACACUUAACCCCAUAUAAAUAGUGUCUCCAUUGCUUUAAUGCAAAUACUACCGCAGCCAAUUCCAAAUCAUGGAUUGGAUAGUUACGUUCAUGCACCUUUAAUUGCCUCGAAGCAUAAGCAAUUACACUCUUCUCUUGCAUUAGCACUGCACCCAAACCCGAAUAGGAUGCAUCACAAUAAACAAUGAAGUUCCUACCCUCUACUGGCAAGGUAAGGAUAGGUGCGGUAGUCAACAGUCUUGAGCUUCUGAAAGCUUUCCUCACACUCAUCCGACCAUACAAAUGGAACAUUUUGCUUAGUCAAGUUCGUCAGUUGGGAAGCAAUAGAAGAGAAUCCCUUGACAAAUCGGCGGUAGUAGCUAGCUAACCCAACAAAGCUCCUUAUUUCUGACACAUUAGUAGGUCUUACCCAAUUCUUCACUGUCUCAAUCUUAGAAGGAUCCACCAUCACUCCAUCCUUAGAAACUACAUGCCCAAGAAGGACACUGCAUCUAGCCAAAACUCACACUUAGAGAACUUGGCAUAAAGCUUUUUCUCCCUCAACAUUUACAAUACAAUUCUCAUAUGCUCCUCAUCAAUAAAUACGAUCACAAAGAGAUCCAGAUAUGUCUUAAAAAUUCCAUUCAUCAAGCUCAUGAACGCAGCAGGGGCAUUCGUAAGACCAAAAGACAUCACUACAAAUUCAUAAUGCCCAUACCUAGUUCGAAAAGCAGUCUUUGGCACAUCCGUUGCCCGUAUUUUCAAUUGAUGAUAACCGGAUCUCAAGUCAAUCUUAGAGUAAACACAAGCACCUUGUUACUGAUCGAACAAGUCAUCAAUGCGAGGAAGAGGAUACUUGUACUUUAUAGUUACCUUGUUCAACUGCCGGUAGUCUAUGCACAUCCUAAAACUCCCAUCCUUCUUCUUAACAAACAAAACCGGAGCACCCCAAGGAGAUGCACUUGGUCUAAUGAAGCCUUUGCUCAACAACUCUUGAAGUUGGGCCUUUAACUCUCUUAGCUCCGCGGGGGCCAUUCUGUAAGGGGGUAUAGAAAUGGGGCAAGUACCCAGUUCAAGAUCAAUACAGAAGUCAAUAUCCCUAUCCAGUGGCAUACCAGGAAGAUCUACAGGGAACACAUCCAAAAACUCACGGACUACCGAAACCGACUCGAUCAAAGGUACUUGGGUAGUGUCAUCCUUGAGAUGGGCCAAGAAAGCUAAACACCCUUUACUAACCAUUUUCUUAGCACGAAGAAAGGAGAUGAUACGCACCGGAUUGGAAGUGUAGUAACCCUCCCACACUAACGGAUCUGUCCCAGGCUUGACUAACGUCACAGUUUUAGCAUUACAAUCCAAGAUCGCAAAAUUCGGAGAAAGCCAAGUCAUACCCAGAAUUACAUCAAAGUCAACCAUUUCUAAGAUAACCAAAUCUACAUAAGUAUUGCUCCCCACAAAAUUCACCAAACAAGACCUAUAUACUUUUUCAACUAUCACAGACUCACCCACCGGAGUAGAAACACGAAUAGGUAUGUCAAGUAAUUCACAAUGUAAAUUAAGACCAUUAGCAAAUGAGGAAGACACAUAAGAAAAUGUGGAUCCGGGAUCAAACAAUACAGAAGCCAUGCAAUCACAAACCAAAAGAUUACCUAUGAUGACAGCAUCAGAUGCCUCCGCUUCAGACCGCCCAGGGAAAGUGUAACAAUGGGCCCUAUCGUUUGUCUGUCCGUUGCCCCUACCAUGUUGUGAUGUAGUGGCUCCAGUUUGCCCAUCACCCCGGCCUUUAUGGUGACCACCAUUACCUCGACCACCACGUCCUCCAGAAUAACGGCCUCUACCAUGAUCACCUCUACCUCUAGCUAUUGGGGGUCUAUAACACUGUUUUGGACAAUUCCUCCUAAUAUGUCCAGUCUCUCCACAUCCAUAACACUCUCUAGAGUCAAGCAUAGGUCUCUCAGAGAAGUGUUGGCCGGUCUGAGGUGGACCCCCAACUACAGUUUGUAGUGAAGAAUGCAUUGGUUGAACUGAGUAACCUCUGGAACCCUGUCCUCUAGAGUAAGAACCAUUAAACUCACCUCACUUUCGAAACCUCUUUGAUGUCGAUGCCAUGGUGAAUUCAUCUGGCUUCACUCCUUCCACCUCUACCACGAAAUCUACCACUUCUUGGAAGGAUUUUGCCGUAGCCGCUACCUGUAAGGCUGAAAUCCGCAACUCUGACCUCAACACCUUCACAAAACGGCGAAUCCUCUCUUGUGGACUGAAACAAAGUUGGGUGGCAUAUCUGGAUAGUGCACGAAACUUAGCCUCAUAUGCAGUAACCGACAUCCUACCUUGCUCUAGACUUAAGAAUUCAUCUAUUUUUCUAUCCCUCAAAGUCCAUGGGAUAUACUCCUCCAUAAACAAGCUAGAGAAUGAUGCCCAAGUCAUAGGUGUUUACUCUGCCGGUUGACACUCAACAUGUGAUCGCCACCACAUUUUGGCGUUCCCUUGAAACUGAUAAGUCACAAACUCAACACCAAACCUUUCUAAUAUACCCAUCUUGUGUAGUAGCUCAUGACAAUCAACCAGAAAAUCGUAGGCAUCCUCAGAUUCAGCACCCUUGAAGAUUGGAGGUUUCAAUUUUAAGAACUUACUAAAAAGUUCAUGCUGAUCAUUUGUCAUUAUGGGCCCCGUAGUCAGACGAGGAAACGUGCCUAUCUCCAAUGAGGCAUCCAUGCGGGGAGCCCCAGCAGCGGCAUAUCGUACCUCUGAAACCGGAGGUGUUGGUGCAGAAAACACUGGAGGUGCCUGACCCUGAUCAGAUAACCCGCUAAGAAAAGCAAGAACCUGAUUGAUCAUCUCUGGGGUAGGUUGGGGUGGCAAUUCCUCAUUUUGCACUUGUUCAUUCUCCCCUUCCUCACCCUCUCUUACUACCUCCUCAGUCGGUGGAGGAGUCACCGCCCUAGCAUCAGAUGGACUAGGUGCUCGUCCUCUUGCUCUAGAGGACGUCCUCCCACGACCUCUACCACGGCCUCUUGCCGCUGUUCUUCCUCGAGCCACAGCCCCAGAGGCUGGCUUAGAUGUUUCUUGUCUUGCCGGUGUUGGUGUUGGUGCAGUCGUUGCUCUAGUUCUAACCAUCUGCGAAAAGAGUGAAGAUGGUUAGAUACCAAUUUGUAUCACCUAGAUACCAAUUGGAUUCAAGUAAUAGCACGAAAGAAAGAAAGAAAGAAUGGAAUUUUCCUGAAGUCUUAUAGCCUCUCAAAGAAAAGUAAAGGCGUCCCCCUACCGUUCCUUAAGACUCUACUAGACUCGUUCUUGUGUGAUGAGACCAACGAACCUAAUGCUCUGAUACCAAGGUUGUCACGACCUAAAAACCGAGCCGCGACUGGCACCCACAUUUACCCUCCUAUGUGAGCGAACCAAAUAAUCUAACCCUUAUCAUUUUAACAUAUAUCAAUAGAAAAUAAUGCGGAAGAAUUAAACUCAUUAAUAAAAACCAAUUCAAUAACUAUUAUUCCCCAAAAUCUUGAAGUCAUCAUCACAAGAACAUCUAUGAUCAAAUUACUAACUAAAAAUGUCUAAGAAGCUAAAAAUACAUAAGAAGCUAGUCCAUGCCGGAAGUUCAAGGCAUCAAGACUUGAAGAAGAAGAUCCAGUCCAAGCUACAAGCAUUAGCUCACCCUGAAUUUCCGAUGUAGUAAAGACUGGCUUGAAUUACUGUUGAGUCAAAGAUGACGGCACGCUUGCAACACUCCACAAAUAACAAAGAACAAAACAUAAAAGUAGGGGUCAGUAUAAAACACGGGUACUGAGUAGAUAUCAUCGGCCAACUCGAAAUAGAAAACAGUAUAUACCAAGUAAUAUCAUAAAAUCAACUAUGAUACUCAACAUGUAGUAACAACAAGUACUAUAUCAUAAACAAUUACCGUCAAGUUCACACAUGAGGACUCAAGCCUCAAUACCAUACUCAUUUAGGAAUUAUGUUCAUUAGAUUGAGUAUAUUAUCAUCUUUCAAGAUUCAUUAUCUUUAUUUCUCUUGUGUCGGUACGUGACACUCCGCUCCCUCAUAUUCUUUAUUCCUCUUGUGUCGGUACGUGACACUCCGAUCCCCUACUACUAUGUGUCGGAACGUGACACUCCGAUCCCCUAAAUCUACGUGUCGGUUCGUGACACCCGAUCCCCUAAAUCUACGUGUCGGUUCAUGACACCCGAUCCCCUAAAUCUACGUAUCGGUUCGUGACACCCGAUCCCCUAAAUCUAUGUGUCGGUUCGUGACACCCGGUCCCCCUAAUACUACGUGUCGGUUCGUGACACCCGAUCUCUUAAUUCUAUGUGUCAGUUCGUGACACCCAGUCCCCCUAAUACUACGUGUCGGUUCGUGACACCCGAUCCCUUAAUUCUAUGUGUCAGAACGUGACACUCCGAUCCCCUAAUCUCCUUCUAUCAAUUCAUCACGCCUUCUUUUAUACCAAGGCCUCAUCAUUAACAAGAGAUUAGGUUUUUAUCAUGAUUUGGGAUUCAAUAGCUUCAUCAUGCUUAAUAUAAUCACAAUUAUAUAAUCACGUUCAUGCAAGCAUACGAUCAAGUACAUAGAAGGAUUUACAAUAUUAUCAAUACAUAUCAUUCGCUAUUAAGAGUUUACUACGAAUAGUGUGAAAACCAUAACCUACCUCCACCGAAGACUAGUGAUCAAGCAAGAAUUUUCCAAGUUUUUGUUCCUUCUUCUCGUUCGAUCCUCUCUCUCCCUUCUUGUUCUUUUUAUUUUUCUUAAUCCAACCUCUUUUUUUACCCUAAUUAACAUAUAAUGAAGAAUAAAAGAUGGCAAUAAUAACUCACUAAUUAACUUAAGGUUACCUCUUUUAACCCUCAAGUAAUUAGACUUAUUAACCUUAACCCUCUAACUUUAUAAUUAAGGUAGGAAUAGUCCAAAACGUCCCUUAAAACGUGUAAAGAAAUCCGACCCAGAUUGGGAUAACGCAACCUGUGACAGCCCGUCGUGCCUGCGACGGUCUGUCCUGCAGGUCGUCGCAAAGUUCAGAGACUGGAUUUCCACUGAAGAAUCUGUGACGGCCCGUCACGACUGUGACGGUCCGUCCUGCCAUUCCGUCACGAAGUUCAGAUAGUCGAUUUUCAGUACCCAAUUUCAGAAUUUCUAAGUGUUUUGAAACGAGACUGUGCGACGGUCCGUCGUGGGGUCCGUCGUCUCAGCCAGUUUUCCAGAAAUAAAAUCUGCUGCUCAAAACGACUAAACAGGUCGUUACAAUAGAUACCAAUUUACCCAUCGUUCAUCCUCGAACAAUCACAAGAAGAAAAACAAGCGCGAGAAGGAGUACUUGAAUCUUUAAACAGAUGUGGGUAUCUUUCUUGCAUAUCUGCCUCCUUCUCCCAAGUGGCUUCUUCAAUCGGUCGAUUCUUCCAUUGCACCUUGAUGGAUGCAAUCUCCCUUGACCUGAACUUGCGGACUUCUCUAUCUAAAAUAUCAAACGGUUCCUCCACAUAAGAUAGAUGCUCAUCAAGCAAAACUGAAUCCCAACGGAUAAUGUAGUUUCCAUCCCCAUGGUAUCUUUUCAACAUAGACACAUGGAAUACCGGAUUUACUCCGGACAACCCUGGAGGCUAGGCUAAUUCAUAAGCCACCUCCCCUACUCGCUUAAGCACUUCAAAGGGACCAAUAUACCUUGGGCUUAGUUUACCUCUUUUACCAAACCACAUCACCCCUUUCAUGGGCGAAACCUUCAACAAGACUUGUUCACCCUCCAUGAACUCUAAGUCUCUAACCUUUCGAUCUGCAUAUUCCUUUUGCCUUCUUUGCGCCGCUAGAAGCUUUUCUUGAAUAGAUUUCACUUUCUCUAAUGAAUCCCUCAAAAGGUCAGUACCCCAAGGUCUAACCUCGAAUGCAUCAAACCAACCAAUGGAAGACCUACAUCUCCUGCCAUACAAUACUUCAAAUGGAGCCAUAUCAAUGCUUGAGUGAUAGCUAUUAUUGUAUGAAAACUCCGCUAAGGGUAAGAAGUUAUGCCAAUAGCCACCAAAUUCUAUCACACAUGCACGAAGCAUAUCCUCCAACACUUGAAUCAUUCGCUCAGACUGACCAUCGGUCUGAGGAUGGAACGCGGUACUAAGGUCUAACCUAGUACCCAAUUUCGCAUGCAAUGUUUUCCAAAACUUAGAAGUAAACUGCGUACCUCAUAUUAAGCAUCGUAUUUGAUAUUUGACUAAGUUAUUACCUCGUACCAAUCAAUACUAGCCUAUUAGAUAGUAUACACUAAAUCUAUGUUAAUAAUUCUUUUCCUAUUAUCUACCUCCUUGGUCCGUCAAGUAGCAUUAAGGCGAGUUCUAACAUUGGCCAUCCGUUAAAAAGUUUUCUAAGCGAAAGAAUUAUUAAUACAUGCAAGACACUAUUCUAGAAUUGUUAUUUUAGUUAGGUUUUAUCUCAUUAUUUGCCUAUGGUUCCCACAACCCUAGUUAUGGAGUUUAUUUAAUCAUAGUCAUAAUCACAACAUUCAAAUAUAUUAAAUAAGAAUUCAUGUACUUACUACAAUGAGAAAGAGUAAAAUCCGUAAGUUUGCUUGAUUAAUCACUAAUAACCACUUGCAAGAAUCUCAAAGUAAUCAAUAAUCUCACAGAAAGUCUAAUGAUUAUCAAAAUCUAACACUAAUACACAGAGUCUAAUAAUAUGAUGUCUAACAAUCCAGAGUCUAACCUCAAAAACGAGGUUUUUCAAUCUACUUAUAAAAAAUAAAAACCUAACUAAACAAGGACUCUAUUUGCUGGAAAUCUGCCAAAACGCGGCUGGGUCGACGAACCACACGAAGGAUCGUCGUGGUCACGACAGAGCUUCAUGGACUCAGUUGUCCCAUACUUAUGCAAUUUCUUCUACUGCUCUCUUCAUUACCCUCGACGGCAAGCAUGACGGACCGCCAUAGGCACAACGGUCCGUCGAGGGUCUUCGUUCCAAAACACUUCAAGUCUAUGAAUCUGGGUACUGGGAUUACUUCUCUGAACUUCAUAAUGAACCAGAAGGACAGACCGUCAUAGACACGAUGGACCGUCACAAGCUACGUAACCCCACACUUGGUCAGACUUCCCCAUCUUCCUUCAGCAGCUGCACUACACUGCCACCUACGGAACGUCACAAGCACGACGGACCGUCAUAAGCUCCGUAGGUGGUCUCUUUUGCAUUUCUUUGCUCAAAAUCUCCGUAUUCAUCUUUGGAUAGAUUUCCUGCAAAACAAAGAGAAACUUAUAUAAAAAUUAGCACAAAAAGGCUUUUGGACACACUAAACUUAAGGAAAAAGUAUUAAUAAUAUCGUGAAACCACGGUAUAUCAAUCUCUCCCUGAUAUUAUUAUUUAUAUUUAUUUAAGAAUCUUAUUUCAGUUCAUGUUUCCUCAAUAAGCUAUCGCAUCUUCUAUUCCCUUGCACGAUUUCGGGAUCUCAAAAAUCUGGUGAGGGGAGAAGAAAGGUGGGAAGAUUAGAGGGGCCACUAUUGUCUUAGCAUUCAGUGGGUUGAAAAGUGGCAUUUUACAGGAAGGGUGGUGAUAGAAGGGGGUUUGAGGGAAGGGAAAACUUAAUGGAGGGUAAAGAGCAAUCGACAACCAUAAGUGGUUGUUGUACAUCUCCAUUGCUAACCUCAUUUCCUCUUAAAUUACCUUGUCUUGGAAAUUUAGGUUUUAAAUCAAGAUUAUCACUACACUCCCCUUGACCUUCACACCCAAGGAGAGAGAUUGCCCCUGCAUGCUCAUCUCCAACCAUGAGUGUGAAGUCUGGUUUGGGUUUGGGGUAUGAAUCACAUUUAAGGUAUGCUCUCGGAUGGUUAUUGAGAGAGUGGGGAGAGUUAUAGAAGGUCUCGGUGAGUUCCUUGUGAGAAUUGUCUUGGGAAUUUAUAGGUCUCCUUACGUUUGCUCUUCUCCUCUAGGAUGAAAUGGGAAUUUACGGAAUUUUAGGGGCUCUUUUAAGUCAAUAUAGAUGGAGCUAUUGGGAAUACAAAUAUUACUUUUAGUGAGGUUUCCACUUUAGGAGUAAGUAUCAAUUCUAGGAAUAUUUAAAGGAGGUAUGUUGGGGUUAUUAGAGGAAAUAACGGAACUUCUAAAAUUAGAAUCGGCAUGAAAAAGAUUGAUAUUGAUACAUGUUUUUGAUGUCAUCUGGUUGCUAGUAACUAUUUUGGGGCCAUCUGAUUACGUUCCGCCUCUGGAUGGUCUCGUCUAUGAUCAUAAUUGUGAUUAAUGUGGUGUUUGUUCUUUUUUCCGAAAGGAGACUAUUUUCCAGACCUCCUGCUUGUUAUAUGUAUUUAACUAUUGGAUGAAUGGAGUCCACAUACAUCUCCUCUAUAUUUUUUUGGGUCUUGGAUUCAAUGUGUUUUUUGGGGCAUAUUUGGAUCGCGUGCCCAAAAACACCAUAUCUAUGGAUGAGCCUUCGUAAUGGAGGGGUUGUUUAUGGUGGCCAAUACGAAUAUAUUUUUGUACUGGAGCUCCGAUAGGUACUUCCACACAAAUUUUUGCAUAUCUACCUCUGAGUGCCUCCGAAGUACAUACAUCUAUUUUUACUAUUUUUCCAUGUUUUUACCUAUACAGGAAAGUAUGUAGUGGUCAUAGAAUUCAGUUGGUAGUUAUGGGAGCAUGAUCCAAAUGGCUGAUUUUGUUUCCUUAGCUCACGAGGCUACGAAGUUGGGAUUCCAUCUCUUGAUUGAUAGGAAGUACAUGUUGACAAACCAUGGUCCAUGUUGUAGUGUUUUAUGCAAAUUCUCCUCUUUGAAGAAUUUGAAAAUAUAAUAGUCGCAUCCUAGAUUGAUAAGCACUAUUUCUUAUGAGCCUCACCAUAUAAUGCUUAAAAAAAAUUCAGGUACAUGUGAUUGAUUUUUUUCCCAAUUAUUUUGAUUUAGAUGGAGUAGAUCGAUGUCUUAUAGAUACUUUGUUUCUCAACCUCUAUAAGAUGGAUCCCCUCCUUUUUAUAUUUGGCUUCCUUUUGUUUACUUGUUGGGGAGUUUGAUAUUGUGUUACCGCUGAGGUCUUCAAUAAUCAUUUCCAUCGUGAGCAGGGACAUACCCUUAUGGGUUUCAUGGGGUUCACCCAAAUCCCCUCGGCAAAAAAUUAUUGCAAAUUUUCUGUAUCUAUGUGGAUAUAUAUAUAUAUAUAUAUAUAUAUAUAUAUAUAUAUAUAUAUAUAUAUAUAUAUAUAUAUAUAUAUAUAUAUAUAUAUAUAUAUAUAUAUGAAACUCCUCAAUGACAAAGAGAAAUUGAUAGCCCAGCAGCAGGUUCUUUGAAACUAAGCUCCAUGUCGAGGGUUUGAAUCCCUUUGUUAGACUUUUCUUUUUUUUCUUUCUUAAUUUAAAUUUUGUUUUUCAUGUAUUUUAUAAAACCCGCUAAAAGUGUGGUUUUAAACCCGAAAAAUUCAAGGGUCCGCCACAAAACUAUAUACUACCACUAUAAAAAAAAUUACAUGAGGAUUUUCCUAGGAAUUAGUAUGAAAAUCAGCAGGAAUCUUAUUUUCCUGCAAAUUUUGAUACUAAUUCUCAAGAAAAUUCCAUUGUAAUUAACAGUUUUCUUGUAGUGUACUACUUCCUUGAAGUUUUUUUUUUGUUGGCUUGUUUACAUGUUUAUACUUUUAUUUAUCGAACCCCUUGAACGAAAGUCUUGGGUCCACCACUGCUGGUGAGAGUUGGUUUUCUUCUAUAUUUGAAUAGGGUGAUUGAUAAGCAUGUCCAUAAAGGAUAUGGCUGCUUCCUUGUUGUUUUCCGCUAUGGUGGAGACCUUAUGUUUUGCAACGCCAUGAUUCUCUAAAUGUCCCCUGUUUCCGGCAGAAAAGAUGGGUUCAAGGAUUCACCGAUGAUAUGCGACAUACAUGUUUACUACUUUAGAACACAAGUCCCAGAGAGGGAAAAAUGUAAUAUUCAAUAACACCAAUGAGGAAAAAAGUUGAUAUGAAACAGAUAGAUUCUAUUAGAAAUAAAAGAUACCUAAAAUUUAUAAUUUAAUAUGUAUACAAAUGUCAUCCAUUACACUUACCAUGAGUGUGUCAAAUGUAUUUGUCCAUAUAAAGUUAAAUAUGAACUCAAGUUUGCCUCUUUCUUUAGAGGAUGAGUAAUUAGAUAACUAGAUAUUGAAGUAGUGAAUGGGGAUUUUAAAGAGUUUGAAAACGCCUUUCGUUAUUUGGUGUAACUACUUGAGCUGGAUGAAAGGAAACUCUCUCCAAUUUUGAAGGUAUUUCUCAAUAUCUUAUUCAUUGCAACAAAAUAUUUUCUUUGUGCGUCGGUAAACAAAAACAUGUUUUUUGGGGGAGGGAUACUAUUUCACCAAUCGAGUCACAUGUAUCUAACAUAUUCAUACAUAAUGAUUUUCCACAAAAUGAUGACGAAACGUAUAAAUUUUACAUAUCUUUCCAUUUUCUGAGUCAUUAUAGCAGGCAUAUGCCAAACGUGAGGUAGAACACCUGGUAAAGAGACCCAAUCUUGAGUGAAAUAAAUACCACAACUUCUGACUUGUUCGGCAAAAUCAUCACAUAGUAUAUCAACAAAGCACAAAGUUAUGUCUCUAUCGGUUGUCCGAAUUCCUUAUGAUAUACAACUGAAACAGGUUCUUGCUAAUGGUAAAAAAGGAGGGUCGAACGUCGGGGUUGUUCUUAUUCUACCGGAGGAGUUUGAAUUAGCUCCUUCCGAUCGUAUUUCUCCUGAGAUGAAAGAAAAUAUAGGCAAUUUGUCUUUUCAGAGCUAUCGCCCAAUAAAACAAAUAUUCUUAUGGUAGGCCCUGUCCCUGGUAAAAAGUAUAGUGAAACAACCUUCCCUAGUUGAAUUGUUGUACAUAUUGAAAGGAGUCGAGAUUGAUGAGGAGUUGUUUAAUGAUUCUCGAACAUGUACUUGUUUUGAGUGCCUAUUUAUUUU
rnacentral:lncRNA from 1 species